UUUAAAAAGUUAAUCCUGCUUCAUUUUACCAAAUCCAUAACCACAAAUAGAUAGUACCGAACAAUCUCCAACCGUAUCUACAUGCAUUUUCACUACAUAAAGUUGCUCGACAAGCAAGCUUACGAACAUAGAUAUGAAAUAGAAGAGUAGUACGUAUGAAACAGACAUCCUGGCGGCUUCUCGCGACGCUAGCACACUUCAAGCACUUCCUAGCUUAUAUAUAUAUAUAUAUCGAGAUUCAUACAUGAAACAAUGCAUAGCAUACAUAUCGUUAGCAUUCUUUUAAGCCGUCAGAAAGACUAAGCAUAUUUUCUUCAUCAUGACAAUCGAUGAGACUCAACCUGUUCAAAAAUCCUUAAUCAUAGAUGCUCAUAAGUUCAAAAUUUGGCUUAACCAAUGUGAAUGGCAAAGCAAAUGCAUGCACCAGCACACUAUGCAUCCAUGUAUAUAUUGAAAUAGAUUCGUGUUUGUGCUUCUUUAUACUUGGAAGCCCCUUGAUAUUAUAUAAUAUCCUUCAAAAUAUAAUUGAUGCACGACACUCAAUUUUACAAGCAAAAUGACACAAUAUAACAAAUAUUCGAAAUUGAGAACAAAGGUUUAGCAGAAAAGGAUUCAAAAUAAAACCUUAUGAAAGCCCUAAUUCAUCAUGCUUUAACUCAUCACACUAUAAUCAUGCAUAUAAGAGAACAAAUUAAUCAUGCAUAAAACAAUGAAUUGAGUUACCUAAAUGCAUCACCGGACCCAUAUUCGUUGACCAGACCGAGAUUUCUCGACCACAAAUCAACAAAACAAAUUAUCCAUCAAUCCUCGAGACCCAUCCAUGUGGAUUGUCAUCACCGCAGAUUCCAGUGGACCCGUAUCAUCGCAGAUUAUCGAAAUACAUCGCCAUUGUUACAGACCCGCCGAACCAAAAUCAUCGCCAAAGUGAUGGCCCAAAUCCCGUCGACACAAAUUCCCAGAAAAAAGAUAAACUGUAAACGUUAAUAUCUCUUGGACAAACAAAAAACUUAUUAAUGUCUUCAAACCAAGAUUUCAUCUUUCUUUUAUCUUACUUAUAUUUGGUAUGUACAAGGCAUAUUUUAUGAACAUCUUUAUAAUCAAAUUCAUUAAUCCAAACCGAUUAGACCCACGAAAACAAUAGCUUAUGUACUCGCAUUCCAUAAUUACCCAAUGAAUCCUUGAUUACUUCUUAUAAAAAUUCAUCAUCAUGGAAUCAAACACACAUAAGAAAAAUUAGUAGCUGCUGAAGCUUAAUAGUUCAAUUUUACCAAAUUGAAUUCAACAUUUAGCCAUCAUUCGUUUGGCAGGCAAUCACAAAUAUUACAAACCCAUAUUGCGGCAAACAUGAUAUGCAUAUAACUCAAAACCUACAUAUUAUCUCACAAAAUAAGCUUGACCACUGCUAAUUUACCAUCACGUCUUUUGUUGUUUUUUUUUUUUUUUUUUUUUUUUUUUUUUAACUUUCAAUUUGAAUUCAAGAGCAACAAUCUUAGGCUCUGAUACCACAUGUAAGAUUAAACUUAUCAAAAAUAUAAGUUAAGAGAUUAAGCUCAUGAACCACAAAUUUAUUCAAGUAUUAAAAUCAUAAUUCGAUAAACACAAUGACAAACUAACUCAUAAACGCAGUAGAAGAAGAAGCCAAAGCAGACUUCUAAACAGUGCACCUUCUCCUCUCUUGCAAAACCAAAAGUACUCAAACUAACAAUAUGUCUUAGUUCAAUAUUGAGCGUGUAUUUUGUGAGAGCAGUGACCACUGUUUAUAAUAUAUUAAUCCUAAUAAUUCUCCUAUUAGAAACACCAUAGAUACCAACUAUGAAUCCAAAUCAUAUCUGAAUUACAAUCCUACAAGAAUUAGGAUAGUUUUAAGCUUUCUAGCCAGACUUUUCUAUAUCAAUUGAAACACUACAACCGGCUAUAAUAUUCAGUUUCAUACUCAUAUUCUAACAGUUGGCAGUCUCCAAUUGUUUACAAUUUGAAUGCAAAGUCCAUUCGUUGGAUUUGUGUCUAUUAAUGUAAAUUUCAUUUUGAUUUCAACCAUUCAAAUUAAUUAUCUUUCUCAUCAAUGGAUAUGACUAUCCGAUAUAUCACGACGUCAUUAAUUUAGGGAUUACCAUACCACAAAGUGAGUUUCCCCCAACUCAUAAUAAGUCAUAGUAAAAUCAAUUUGACUUUGUGUUGACAACAAAACUGACGUUGCCUUAAGUUGAACUCAUUUUAGAUGAGUGAAGAUAAAAUGAGAAACUAUAUCUUCACACAUUUCUACUUCUUAAAGCAUGAAAAGUGAUUUUAUUGAUAGCGUUAAAAGCAACCACAAUGUUAGCGAAUUGUGGGGAUGACUUACCUAUGGCUUACCUAUCUUUGAGAAUAAUAUAUACUUAAAGAAGAAAUAAAAAAUAAUUUGUAUCUUUUGAAGUGAGUGAGUUUAAGGUAUUGAAGGGUUUCUAACAUUUUGAAAAAUACUUCAAAUGUGGGGGUAUUUACCCAAGCAUAGGCAAAUUACUUAGUAAUUAAGUCCUAAUAUAUGUUUGGAUGACUUAACAAAAGAAAUCAACUACUCUCAAAUCAAACUCAUUUACAUGCAUGGAUGAGUUUUGAGAUGGCCAUAUAGUAUGAGUACAUGAUGAGAUCCAUAGUCAUUGUAGUACGCACAUGAUGAGAUCACAAAGUCAUCUUAGGAAUUUCGAAUUAAUUUCACAAAUGGGUAGACCGAAAAAUUAAGAUCUUUAUUACAAAGCAUAAACAAGCCAAGAAAAGCAGAAAAAAAAAUGGUAACCCUAGCUACUGCAGAUGGUUACACUUGGAACCCUCAUCACAAAGCCUGGUGCAUUUAUCACUAAGAUUGGACUGGAGCUUACAAAUGCCUUGUCCUGCAAAGAAUCUUCCUACAAGCCACAACCAUGAUGGCGGAAACGCCCAAAAAAAAAGCCAAACAAACAAACAAUAAAAACAUAUGUUUGAGCUUUCUCCAACCAUCAACAUGAGUUCCAGCGGGUGACGAAUCAUCAACAUGAGUUCCAGCGGGUGACGAAUCAUCAACAUGAGUUCCAGCGGGUGACGAAUCAUCAACAUGAGUUCCAGCGGGUGAAGAAUCAUCAACAUGAAUUCCAGCGAGUGCCGAAGCGUGAGAAGGUUGCCCGGGUGCCGAAGCGGGAGAAGGUUGCCCCUGGGUGGCGGAGGGGGAGAAGGUUGAACUUGUGGUCGGUUUCUGUAACUGUAAGCGGACUAGCUCAGCAUUCAAUUCAUCGUAACUAUUCCAGCAGUCAUCUCGAUGGGAGAUUGUAUUAAUAUAUUCACGUCCAAUCAAAUACAAUGCAACCAAAUUAGGGCAGGCAGGUAAUAAAGAAAGGGAGAUGAGCAGCCAACUGUCACUGCAUGUGAAGACCUUGGCACUAUUAACAAUUGCCCCCAAAAUGACUCCCUGAAAGACCAGGUAGAAGUUUCCAAGUUGGAAGGCGCUUGAUUGAAGAUGAUUGAGACGAGUAUCAUGUUCCCGAAUUACAGUUUGAAAAUCUUCCAUUUGCUUCCUGAGCUGUUCAAUUGAAUCACCUUGUCCAUUUGUUUGGUUGUUAGACAUGAUAUAUAUAUGCACUAUAUAUUUAGCCCGUCUCGCUACGAUGUAAGUGUUUGUGCGUAAUCCUAUGACCGUAGCUGAAGGCUAAACUCUGUUUGUGGGAGAGAGAGAGCUGCAGACAAUGCGUAAGUGAGGGUCAUUAUCUCAUCUGAAAGCUAAUAUAUAUAGAGGCACAUAUACGUAAGAUUCUAACCUUGACCAAGUUAUAAGCUCACUUGCUAUUUACCUCAGAAAACUUAAGUAGUUAAUAAUUACAUUUUUUUUAAAGAACGAACAAAUGACUAUCUCUAACUCGAAAUUUUUUAUUGUGACGGGAACAUAAUAGUACAUCACGUGUUUUUAUGUAAGUGGUGAGAAAUUUUAUUUUUUAAGUUAUUAACUUUUUUAACAUGCAUAUCUCAUUAUUUAUAUAAUGACACGUGAUGUAUCACCUCGUGUGCCGAUCAUACUGAAAAAUAUCUCCAAAGACUUAAGCCCUAAUAUAGAAUUGUACAUGAAACUUUGGUCCAGCUAGUCUUUGUAGAAACUCUUCGGUGAGGGUGUCGCGAGGUCCAGCGUGUCGGGUUACUUAAUAAAUCAAAACGCAAGGGGGGCUAUGUGUGUGUGUAUGAGAAUGUGGAGGCAAAGACUCACACGGGCCAAAUGGAAUCGAUUUGGGAUUAAUAUAGUUGUCCAAUCGGACAAUAAACACAUGUUGCCGGCAAAUUUGUCUUGGGCACAGCUACUAGUUGUUGGAAUUUGAUCCCCUCCAGAGCAAAUGGUGGGGAUCCUCAUGACCAACAAACACGGGUCGUUGGAUUUUGAUCAAACGGUUAUAAACAGAGGGUCCUUCUAAAAGUUAUAAUAAUUGUAUCCGUUAGAUCAAAAUUCAACGGCCCAUGUUUGUUGGUCAUGAGGAUCCCCACCAUUUGCUCAGGAGGGGAUCCAAUUCCCUAGUUGUUUACUAAAAUUUGUUUGUAACUAACUUUUAUAUUUAGGUAAUGCUAGAGAGACUAAAUGAUGCGUCACUAAUAGAAAUACGCACGUUUACAUAUACUUAAGUAAUGAACCAAUCAUCAACUUCCAUGUCUUUUAGUUUUUAAAAUUUUGUCUACAAAUUUAAUCUUCCUAGCAUUACUCUUUAUAUUUUUAUCAUGGCAUUUUGUUAGUUUUUGAGACAUUUUAUUCUAGCUUUUUAUUCUCUCGUACACUUGUAUAUUAAAAAUGGUAAACUUACUAAGCGGGUCCGGAAAAUGUGGAUAACCGUAGCUUGUCACUCAUUGUCCUUUUUUUUGAGAAGAAAAAAAACUAAUAUGAUACAAUAUAAUUGAAUUUAUACACAAGCAUAUGACAAAAUUAAGAAAAAUACAAAAUAAAUUAUAUAUACGAAAAGUUUGAGAAUAUAAAAUAAAAUAAAAAUAAAAAGACCAAUUAAAUAUAUGAAUUCCAAGAUAUGUUGAAAAAAUUCCCAGAUUACUCCUAUUUCGAAAGUUUUGAAAUCCAAUUCGAGCUGAAACUUUUGGAAUGAAAGUGUUUAUACCUAAUUUUGCAUUAUCAGUCCGUUUAAAUGAGGCCAUAGGAUGACUCCCAAAAUAAAGAAAUUUUUUUUCUACAUUACUAUUGAAUUAUCAUAGUAAUUAUAUGGAAAGUAUUUUGGAACUUGCAGAAUUGUGGUGUGCGUUGGAUUCUAUUAAAGUUAAUUAUCAAUUACUCAGUUUAACUUGAGAUAAUGACUGCAAGGUUUGAAAUUUGAAUGGGUGAGGACUACGUCCUACGACAGUGUGUGUAACGUAAGUUGUGUUGGAAGACUAACUCCAUGCAAUUAAUUGGUACAUCCUAGAGUCCAAUUAACUAAAGACGCUGUCAUGCAUGUUAACGGCGGCAUGCAUGGGAUAAUUAGCACAAGGAUGAAAGAUAGGGCUAAAACUAGCAAGCGGUGGUGAUGUAAUAAUGAUUAUCACACUGCAUAAGUUAAUGCGUGGUGGUUUUCAUAGAAGAGGAGAUCAGCUUCCAGGAGGCAUGGUGCUAUAGAAAUUGCUUUUACAGUUUAUCAUCCAAGGUAUAUAUGUCCUGAUGUCCUUAUGAAUACGAGAGGUUUUGCAAGGACCUUCAACUAACGCACAAAUAAAUGUUCUAUUCCAAACCCUCUUACACCCGUGAGAAAAAAAAAACUAUUUGCUCCAGUAAUAUGUCAACACAAAUUUAGUUUAGUUAAACAUCAUCGGAGUCAUAGAAUCAAUUCGGUUUAGGAGUCUCUUUAGUUUGGUUAAACAAUAUUUUCUCCUUUUUCGACUGGUUGUCUAUCUGAAGUCUUAGCAGGCAAAAAGUUUUUGAUUUUUUGUUUGAAAGAGGGCACUUCAUUAGCUUUUCCAGUGAAGUGAGGUAUUCUAUGAUCAAUUAUUAACAAGUGCAUUUUUUGGUUCAGCAUGCAUGCAGAUGGCCGAAUUAUCUUUACCAUAAAGAUGCUUAUUUCUUUUGAGUAUCUUUGUACCUAUAGCUUGAUUCAUGUCCAGCAUAAAUUAUUCUCACCAAUACAGUGGAGGCCACCGAACCUGGUGCAGAAGAUUAAACUUCACAGUGAAAGGCAUAACUUUGUCUUCAGGUUUUACAACGCUAGGCCGAGAGUAUUUAUUUUUUGGUCGAAGUUGCUCGUUGUAAAGCUUGCGGUUCAUCACAACACCACUAUAUCCAUCUUAUUUGCCCGACUCAGUUCGGUGGUUAGUGGCACUCCGAAUCAAUAAUCAUUUACAGAAAAACAUAGUUAGAUUAAUAAUUAGGCCUACGUGCCUGACAGACUUCGUAAUUUUUAAAGUCAACAGAAAGAAACAUUGUUUCCGAUUCCCCUAAUCAUCUUACGACUUAAAACCCAUGAGCCAACGGUGGUAGUGAGUCCAAAUAUCCAAAUAUUUAAUUCCAUUGAGCAUCGACCCGAACAACCGAGUGGUUAAGAUUCUUAAGAAAACAUAAAAUUUUGAUUUGCAGCUGUCAGAUGUUUAAGCACUUAAAAUAAACUCUCUUGAUUGGCACCAACCGCGUGUACCAACUAGUUUACAGCUGAGGGGGUAAGGUUCCGCUUAAGUUUCAACCAAUUAUCAUUUCUCAUAUAAAUAUUCAGUCUAUUAUCAUUUUAUAAUGUUGGCACGAAAAAUACUAAACUCUCUUGAUUGGCGCCAACCGUGUGUACCAACUAGUUUACAGCUGAGGAGGCAAGGUUCCGCUUAAGUUUCAACCAAUUAUCAUUUCUCAUAUAAAUAUUCAGUCUAUUAUCAUUUUAUAAUGUUAGCACGAAAAAUACUAAAAACAUAAGAUGACGGAGAGUCUAUAGAGAGACCCUUUUUCUAUAUAGAAUUUCCUUAAUGUUUCCCUAUUUAUAUUUCUACUUUUACAGAAACUACUACUUCAAAAAAUUUUUUACUCCUAAGUUUUAGGUGCCUGGAGUGGUCCACUGGUCCCCCUGCUCACUCUAGGUCAGAGCCGGCCUUAUUUUGGGCUUAACUUGUUUCGGUUGAACAUUUUGGCUGGGUAAAUUACAUUUUACCACCUCAAGUUUGUGAUCGAUUUCAAUUCCUUACAACAUUUUUAAAGCAUUUCAAUUUCAUACAUUUACUAUCAUUUUAUUUCAAUUUCAUACAUCCGUUAGAAAAUCCGUUAAGUGAUGACGUGGCUGCCAAAUUUUGUGCCACAUGGCAAAAAUAAUAAUUUUUAUGCAUUUAAAAUAUUAUAAUAAUUUAUUCUAUUUCAAAAAAAAACACCCAUCUUUUAGCACACCCCCAUCCCACCCCACACCACCUGCAACCCCCCCCCCCAAAGCUUGGAAUAUGGCUUUGAGAGAGGAGGUGGUGACGGCCGGGUCCAAAUUGAAAAUGACAAUUGUGCCCUGGUUGUGGUCUGGGAUGGCUUUCAAGGCUGGAAUGACGAAUUGGGCCCACACGGCCCACCCGGCGAUGAGCCCGCAACCUGGAAGAAACAGAAGCGGGAAAAUAAAAAGUGGUAAAUCUGAUGUAGCCGUCGUGAACAAUAAGGCGGCGUAAUGGUUGCGAAUCUUGUUUUCCUACUACAUGUGCUGCUGCCGAAUCUUGUUCAACGCCCUCUCUACAUGCCUGAGAUCGUAGAAGUGGACGGUCACGAAUCCCCUUUCCAGGGAUCUGGAAGUCCAUAAUCCGGUGCUCGAGGGUGGGUUUUGGGUGGGGUGGGGGGUUGCGGGGGAGGUGGGGUGGAGAGGGGUUUGCAGGUGGGGUGGGGGUUGGAUGGGGUGUGCUCAGUGAAGAAGAUGGGUGUUUUUUUUUUUUAAUAUGAUAAAUUAUUAUAAUAUUUUAAAUGCAUAAAAAAUUAUUAUUUUUGCCACGUAGCACAAAUUUGGCAGCCAUGUCAUCACCACGUCAUCACUUAACGGUUUACUUAACAGAUUUUCUAACAGAUGUAUGAAAUUGAAAUAAAAUGAUAAGUAAAUGUAUGAAAUUGAAAUGUUUUAAAAAUGUUGUAAGGAAUUGAAAUCGACCCCAAACCUGAGGGGGUAAAAUGUAAUUUACCCUAGAUUUUAAUAUGCAAGUGUGGAAUAAUUUGUUCGCUUGUGUUGUUGUGCAUGUUAGACUUAAUAGAGUUAGCCUUUGACAAGGAUCACAAUAUACACAUGUAUAUAUGCAUAUAUACAUACAAUGUGCUAGAAUUGCAGACAAAAUGGAGUUGUUAUAGAAACAUGCAAAUUUCGUUGCAUACAAAUGAUACAUCGCCAAACUCCACAUGGCAUAUGACUUAUCACAAAUAGAUAAGUCAUCAAUAUGGCACAAAUCAAGCAAAGGAAGUACAAAACCUUCCUAAAACUCGGCAAAAGGGAGUCAUCAAUGACAAAUGGCACAAAUCAAGCAAAGGAAGUACAAAAUCUCUCUUGAAAUCAGCAAGAGGGACAAAAUCUCUCUUGAAAUCGGAAAGGGGAUCCAAAUUGCUCCCUAAACUGGAAAAAAAGCUAAAGCAUCUUCAUAAAAUAAGCAAGAAUUAAAGAUUGCUCACAUAAUAGACAAGAAGUCCUAUAAUUUGGCAAGGAUAAGAUAGAGUGGCCAAAACAAGACACAAAACAUGUCUAGAUUCUUCCAUGGACGAAUUAAGCCACAAAUCAAGUACAAAUCCAUUUGUAAGCAAGACUUGAGAAGUCUAUAAAUACAAGGUCCCAGGACAAACAAAAGGUCGGUAAUUCUACAUCCAGAGGAACCUCUGCACCAAAUCUUUGAAAACUAAUACGCUGCUAAAGCUCUCUUUGAAGAACGCAUGACCAAAGCCGAAGCAUUCCCUUGAAGAAUCAACAAGCACUUGUGCCGAUUCCUUCAAGACUUUGUUCCAAGCUCAAAACUUGUAACAAUGUUUGAUUCAAGAUCAAGUCGCCAAGACCCUUGAAUCAACAAAAUCCCACGUCUACAUCACCUUUGUCGCAAGUUACACAUAAACCUUGAGGUAAAGACUAUCCACGCAUUGUUUCAAGCUCAAAACUUGAAGUAAUUGUUCAACAGUUCGUCCGAGAUCAAGUCAUCACAAUCCUUGGAUCAAUAAUUUACACAUCCACACAUCAAAUUUGAAGACUAAAUAAGAGGAAACUUGUAAACAGAGAUUGUAACCUUACAAAUUCAUUAAUACAAAUUUACUUUGUACACGUGUUCUUGUUUCAUUCGUUACAGAAUUGUCGUGUUUAUAAAUUUGGCACACCCAGUGGGACAUCUCUGCCUCUCAUCUAUGUCUUCAGAUUCGCAAGAACCAAGUAAACAACAACAGAUAAAGUAAAAGGUCUAAGCAAAAUGAGAGUUGCAGCUCAAGAUACAACGGGAUAUCCACACAAGCUUUAGGCCCGAACACUGCAAAAGAAAAUAACACAAAAAAACCCUAAUCCCAAGUAGCAUAAACCAUACUGUCGCCACAGUCACAACCUCGGAGGAAGCCAAAAUCCGAAUCGAAAGGGUAUACACAAGAUCCAAGUCCCAUUCAUGAACCCCCUACAAAUAUAUACAAAUAAAGUAUCAUACAUGUAAAGUGUGAGGCUAAGGGUAUGUAAAAUACCCAACACUUGUCCCCGAUGGGGAUUCAGCAUGCAGUUAGGGAGGAAAGUGGAUAUGAUAUCAAAUUUUUUAUUGGAUAAGGAUGAAGUAUCACGGCUAAGAAGAAGGGAUGAAAGAAAACUAAAUGACAGAAAGUAGUAAAAGCAGGCAAAAAAUGCUAGAUAAGGAUCAUGAAGCCCAAAUUUGAGACAAGCUCAGGGAAUAGUUGAGACUCAGCUCAGGGAAAAUGAGAAAAAAACUCAGGGGAGAACAGAGAAUAAAAACAAAUGAAUGAGACUAGAAAGGGAGAAGGAAGAUGAGUUGGAUGCUAUAAGGGGAAGGGGGAACGAGCAAAGGUAAUGAAAGGGGAGGAAAAUAAGGAAAAGGAAAAUGAGAGGGGAGGGAAGGAGGAGUAGCGGGCUGUCGCCUAUCCCGAGCGAAUGUAAGGUAUUCUAAUGUGACAAACCCUACCCAUCUUAUAGUUUGCCAGGUGUCUCUUAAAUUACUUCUAGUUAACUUUUUAAUUAAACAAUCACUUUUAACUUUUAAAAUAAUUUUAAAACCAAACACAAAAAAACUUGAAAAAUAAAAUAAAGGGAAAUCUCAUUUUACUACCCUGAAGUAUUUUGGUUUUCAACAUUUCAUAUAUCAAAUUUUUUACGUCCCAGUGUGGUACCUAAAGUCAUAAUUCAGGGACACUUUCAUACAUCCGUUAAGUUUUAAGUUAGAAUCUCCGUUAACGGAUGAUGUGACACCCAUGUGGACAAUGAUUGGGUGCCACAUGUCAAUAUAGGCUACAUCCAUCAAACCUUUUGUGAUAACAAUUUCAUGAUCUCAUCACCAUCGUAUAUCUAGUACCAGAUUUCAAAGCCAUAACCAUGGGUGUGCAUGCUAGAGCAUUUAGCAAAAGAAAUACGUUAAAUACUUCGUUAUAUUAUUCAUUCUCUAAGAAAACUAAAUCCUAAAGAUUACAUAUCCUAAUCUUACUUAAAAUAGGACUCCAAUAACAUUUACAAUUAAGACUCAAAUCAACACUCCCCUCAAGUUGGUGCAUAAAUAUCGUACAUGCCCAACUUGAUAAUUGAGUCUUGGAAAACCUUACUAGGUAUUCCAUGAGUAAGAAUAUCAGCAAACUGCUCUCCUGAAAUCGCAAACGGUAUAGACACAAUUUUCCUUGUCAAAGUGUCGAUCAACCUCCACAUGCUUUGUUCAAUCAUGUUGUACCGGAUUAUCAGUUAUCUCCCUUGCAUAUUUAUUAUCACAAUAUAAUACCUAGAUAAAAUACGCCAACCAGAUUACCUCUAACAAACAUAAAAUACCUAGAUAUAGACUGUCUGGCAAUAACAUUACCAGCCCAAUUUACAUCUGUAAACCUUUCAACCUUUAAAUGCCCAUGUUUUCCAUAAAGUAUUCCUUUACCGGGUGCAGACUUCAAAUAUGUCAAAAUUCACAUUACCGCAACCAUGUGAUAUUCACUGAUGAGUUCAUGAACUGACUUACAACACUCACAACAUAUGCAAUAUCAGGACGAGUAUGAAAUAAAUAAAUUAAUCCCUAUCAACACUCACAACAUUCACAAGUCUUUGGUAUCUACCCCUAUCAACAAGAAGUUGAUCUGGGUAAACACCCAAGUGAUGCUUAUCUACCAUAGAAGUAUCCACAGGUUUACACCCUAACAUACAAGUUUCUUUUAACAAAUCCAACACAUAUUUUCGUUGUGAUCAAAAAAUACCUUUAGGUGAAUGGGCCACCUCAACUCCAAGGAAGUACUUCAAUUAUCCCAAAUCUUUCAUCUCAAAUUUAGAUGCAAGAUUUACAUGUAACUUUUGAAUUUCUUCGGAAUCAUCCCCUGUAAUAAUCAUAGCAUCCACAUAAAUGAUUAAAGCAGUCAAUUUGCCAAGCCUGCGCUUCAGAAACAAAGUGUGAUCUGAAUGACUCUAACGAUAUCCAUAUUUCUUCAUUGCUUGAGUAAACCUAUCAAACCAAGCACGGGAAGAUUGUUUGAGCCCAUAAAGAGAUUUACACAUUAUGCACACUAAUGUAUUACCAUUCACAUCAUAUCCUAGUGGAAAUACCAUAUACACUUCCUCUUCUAAGUUCUCAUGAAGAAAUGCAUUCUUCACAUCAAACUGUUUAAGAGGCCAAUCCAUAUUUGCUGCUAAGGAAAUCAAGACUUGUACCGUAUUCAUUUUUUGCUACCGUAGAAAAGGUUUCUUGGUAAUCUACAACAUACGUUUGAGUCUACCAUUUAGCCACUAACCUUGCUUUGUACUUAUCUACUGAUCCAGCAACCUUGUAUUUGAUUGUAAACACCCAACAACAACCAACAGGUUUAUUCCUUUUUGGUAACUACACUAUCUCCCAAGUUUUAUUUUGCUGCAAAGCUGACAUUUCUUCAUCCAUCGCUUGUGUCCACUUAAGGUCUCAUAGGGCUUCUUCUACUUGAGCUAGAAUUUUGGUUAAUUCCAUAUGAUUUACCAACGCCCUACGUUCAGGUGAGUAGCGCUCACAUGAUACAUAAUUAGCAAUCUGAUACUUGACAUUCCCUUCCACAGAGAACUUGCCAGAUGGCACACCACGAUUCUGUCUUACUGACAAUUUAUAAGUACUUACAAUAAUAUAAGGAUUAGUUGUAGUAUCAUUUAAAGUACUUACCUCUUGAAUAUUCAAAGGAGAUGGAACGGGCACGACAUGAUCAUAGAGAUAAGGGAUACUACAGACAUACUGGGCAAUUUUGCAAAUUCCUGCUAAACAGAGUUGUAUUGUUCUGUAUAGCACUGCCAAUCUAGGUGGUACUCUUCGAUAGAACUCUGUCGAACAUCUCUGAUUUCUUCGGCUGGACUAUUUGGUUUGAUGGAAGCUUGCUGAACUGAAAUGUUAGGUUCGGUAGGCUCUGGUCAAACAACUGGGCGGAUUUCCACCACUUCGGUUUCUCCCCCUGAAGUAUAUUUCAGCCAACUUAGAUCACCAAUAUCACUAAUAUCCCCUAGUGUUCUGAAUUGGAUACAGAAGAAGAAUAAAAAUAUUCAGACUCCGAGAAGGUCACAUCCAUAGUUACAAACAUUUGUUAACUAGCAGGAUGAUAACAUUUGAAUCCCUUCUUAUGUGGGGCAAAUCCAAGAAAGACAUAUUGGAAUGCACAACGAUCAAGCUUACUACACUGAGCUUUCUGAAUGUGAACAUAGAUCACACAACCAAAGAUCUAAGGUGACAAAGUAUUUGAAGAAACCAUUGGAAUAUGUUGAGUAAGUUCUUGAAGUGAUGUUCGAUAGUUCAAGACCAGAGAAGGCAUACAGUUCAUAACAUAAACUACAUGUACAACUGCUUCAUGCUAGAAACAUUUGGGAACAGAUGCACCAAUAAGCAUGAGUUGUCUCCAAAAUAUGACGAUUCUUCAUUUCCGCCACCCCAUUUUGUUAGGGGUAUGCGGACAUGUAGUCUCAUGAAUAAUAGCACGAUCUUGUAGAAAACGAUAACUCAGAAUUUAUGUACUCUCCACCAUUGUUAGAACGCAAAACUUUAAUAUCAUAGGAAUAUUGAGUUUUAACCAUUUAAUGAUACAGACAAAAAACAUCACAAACCUAACUUUUAUUUUUCAACACAUACAACCACGUCAUACAGGUGCAAUCAUCCACAAAGGUAACAAACCACUUAAUUCCCGAAGUAGUACUAAUAGGGGAAGACCACACAUCAGACGCAUGCCCCAAACGACGAUGCAAUAACAAUACAUUAUGUAGAUUACUAUCAUGUGACACACAAACCAAAUUAGCUAUUCCAGAAACCACGUCAUCCACAUAAUAUAGCCCUUCUCACUUAGUGCCACGUCCAAGGAUCAAUUUGUAUGAAUAUCCUGAAGCAAGCAAAAGGAAAGAUCCAUUAAUACAACACAAUCCAAUUGUUCAGUAACUUAUGGUACCGACAAUAAAGGAUGGGACAAUGACGGAACCAAUAAACAAUUAUGUAAGGUGAGAGAGGGUGUAAGACAAAUUGUUCCUACUCCAACAACAGGAGCAGUAGUACCAUUGGCAGCUGCCACACACUUUCUAUGAGAAUGUUUUAUAAAUUGAAACAAAACUUUAUCAUAUGUCAUAUGAUACGUUGCAUCGGAAUCCAAAAUCUAACAUGUGUUCGCCAUUACAAUAACACGCGACUAGACAAAAAGAAUUGCACACGAGACCUAGUUGCAGCAGAAUACUUCUACGUGGUAGUGCAAUUGCUUAAGCACAACAAUCGUACAUGGUAGAAUUGUAAUCACACACAAAAAAUUAAUUGCUCUUUGACACGCUGGACCAAGGCAGCAGGCAGCGGCAUAUUUUUUUUCCUUUUUACUGGAGUACGCAUGUCACAGAGAGCAGCAAAAACACACUGCACAAUCAAUUGCUCACGUUACAGGCUUACAGUAAGUGGUAAAAGACCCCACGGCAUAAAGAACAUGUACUCUGACAAUAUGUCGCAACCAAUUAUAAAUCGAACAAGGAUUAUUUGCCCUCCCUUUUUUCAUACCCUUUCAUGCCUUGUUGUUUAUGUGGUCACGGUUUAGUCAUGUCAACAUUUUAUAUUACUAUUCUUUUUUGUCUUAUUAUCUUUAUAAAAAAAUAAUAUAAAAUGUUAACGUGGCUUAACCGUGAUCACACAAAACAGGAGGGCAUAAAAAAAGGAAGGGCAGACAAUCCUUGUCCUUGUAAAUCUGCACCAAUAUCAAUAUGCAAUUGCACAUCAAUUACAAGGAGGCAAAUUCUCUGCCCUCCCACUUCCUGUGCUCUCCUAUUUGUGUGGUCACGAUUAAACAACGUCAACAUUUUAUAUUACUAUUCUUUUUUGUCUUAUUAUCUCUAUAAAAAAAAAUGGAGUUUUAACAAAACAUUCCCGGUACUAUUCACUUUUAACGAAAAACUAUAUUUAUACAUUUGCAUGGUACUAUUCACUAUACCUUUAAAAAUGACUUUUCAUUAAAAUUGAAGUUUUUUUGGGCUUUUCGUUAGUUUUUCUUAAAAAAAAAAGGGGUUAAACUCUGUUUACCCUCAUGUUUCGUGGUUUUCAACAUUUAGUACAUCAAGUUUUUUUUGUCCCAGAGUCAUACCUAAAGUGUUAAUUUUGGGACAGUCUCAUAUAUCUGUUAGUCAAACUGUUAGUUCUCCCGUUAAGUGAUGACGUGACGCCUAUAUGGACAAUGACUGGACGCCACGUGUCAUUAAAAAAAUAUUAAAAUAAUUAAUUUAAAAAAAAAACACAUUCCUUCUUCUUCUUCUUCCUCCUCCUCCUAGAUUCGGAAGAUUCGGUUUUUUUCUUCUUCUUCUUCUUCCCAUAUUCGGUUUUUUUUUUUAUUCUUCUUCUUUCUCCUCCUCCUUCUUUUUCUUCUUCCUUCUUCUUCUUCUUCUUCUUCUUCCCAGAUUCGGUUUUUUUUUCUUCUUCCUCUCUUCUUCUUCUUCUUUUUAUGGGUUGGGGGGGGGGGAGGGAUGAGUUUUUUUUUAAUUUUUUUUAUAACUUUUAUUUAAUUAAUUAAUUUAAUAUUUUUUAAUGACACGUGGCGCCCAAUCAUUAUCCAUAUAGGCGCCACAUCAUCACUUAACGGGAGAACUAAUAGUUUGACUAAUGGAUGUAUGGGACUGUCUCAAUUAACACUUUAGGUAUGACUAUGGGACGAAAAAAACUUGAUGUACUAAAUGUUGAAAACCACGAAACAUAAGGAUAGUAAACAAAGUUUAACCCAAAAAAUUAAUAUAAAAUGUUGGUGGCUUAACCGUGACCACACAAAACAGGAGGGCAUGGGACGGCACGGGAAGUGGGAGGGUAGAGAAUCUCCUAAUUACAAUUGCAAAGUAGCCAGCCAAUCCUUCUUUUCUUUUUGGGUAAAAGACUGUUUACUACCCUCAUGUUUCAUGGUUUUCAACAUUUAGUACAUCAAGUUUUUUUCGUCUCAGAGUCAUACCUAAAGUGUAAAUUUUGGGACAAUCUCAUACAUCCGUUAGUCAAACUGUUAAAUUUGUCGUUAAUUGUGACGUGGCGCCCAUGUGGACAAUGACUGGGCGCCACGUGUCAGCCACGUUUUUUUUUUUUUUUCUUUCUUUUCUUCUUCUUCUUCUUCUUCUUCUUCUUCUUCCACCCGACUGCAACAUUUUUUUUCCCUUCCUCCUUCUCAUUCCUUCCCCUUCUUCUCCAUCUUCCUUCUCUUCCUCCGAAUCUGGGGAAGUUUUUUUUUUCUUCCCUCUUCUUCCUCCUUCUUCCUUCCUCUUCUUCUUCCUCCGAAUCUGCCCAGAUUCGGUUUUUUUUUUUUGAGGAAGAUGAAGAGGAAGGAGGAAGGAGGAAGGAGGAAGGAGGAAGGAAGAAGGAAGAAGGAAGAAGGAAGAAGAAGGAGGAAGGAGGAAGGAGGAAGGAAGAAGGAAGAAGGAAGAAGAAGGAAGAAGAAGGAGGAAGAAGAAGAAGGAAGGAAAAAAAGAAGAAAAAAAGUUGCAGUCGGAGGAAGAAGAAGAAGAAAGAAGAAAAAAAAAAGUCGAAUCUGGGCAGAUUCGGAGGAAGAAGAAGAAGAAAAAGAAGAAGAAGAGGAAGGAAGAAGGAGGAAGAAGAAGAAAAAAAAAAAAAAAAAGUCGAAUCUGGGCAGAUUCGGAGGAAGAAGAAGAAGAAGAAGAAGAAGAAGAGGAAGGAAGAAGGAGGAAGGAGGAAGGAGGAAGGAGAAGGAAGAAGGAGGAAGAAGAAAAAAAAAAAAAAAAAAACGAAUCUGGGCAGAUUCGGAGGAAGAAGAAGAAGAAGGAAUAAGGAGGAAGGAGAAGGAAGCAGGAAAAAAAAAAUUCCCCAGAUUCGGAGGAAGAAAAAGGAGAAGGAGAAGGAAGAAGAAGGAAGAAGAAGGAAGAAGGAGAAGAAGGGGAAGGAAGAAGGAGGAAGGAAGAAGGAGAAGGAGGAAGGAAAAAAAAAAAAGUUUGCAGUCGGGUGGAAGAAGAAGAAGAAGAAGAAAGAAGAAAGAAGAAGAAGAAAGAAGAAGAAGAAAGAAGAAGAAGAAAGAGAAAAAAAUAAAAAUAAAAAAUUCCCCAAAUUCGGAGGAAGAAAAAGGAGAAGGAGAAGGAGAAGGAAGAAGAAGGAAGAAGGAGAAGAAGGGGAAGGGAGAAGGAGGAAGAAGGAAGAAGGAGAAGGAGGAAGGAAAAAAAAAAAAAGUUUGCAGUCGGGUGGAAGAAGAAGAAGAAGAAAGAGAAAAAAAAAAAAAAUUCCCCAGAUUCGGAGGAAGAAAAAGGAAAAGGAAGAAGAAGGAAGAAAAAGGAGAAGGAAGAAGAAGGAAGAAGGAGAAGAAGGGGAAGGAAGAAGGAGGAAGGAAGAAGGAGAAGGAGGAAGAAAAAAAAAAAAAAAGUUUGCAGUCGGGUGGAAGAAGAAGAAGAAGAAGAAGAAAGAAGAAAGAAGGAAGAAAGAAGAAAGAAGAAGAAGAAAGAAAGAAAGAAGAAAAAAAAAACGUGUCACAAAAAAAAAACGUGGCUGACACGUGGCGCCACGUCAUUGUCCACAUGGACGCCACGUCACAAUUAACGGCAAAUUUAACAGUUUGACUAAUGAAUGUAUGAGACUGUCCCAAAAUUUACACUUUAGGUAUGACUCUGAGACGAAAAAAACUUGAUGUACUAAAUGUUGAAAACCAUGAAACAUGAGGGUAGUAAACAGUCUUUUACCUUUUUUUUUUUUUUCUUUUUUUUGGCAGACAGCACGACAUAAAGAACAGUAGCGGUUUUUAAGUUUUGGCAGAACACGACACAAAGAACAGCAGUGGUGUGCUGUUUCCCACACUAGUCAAAUGCAAAGGGGGCAUUUGAUUAGAAGGACGAAAGGUACUCGCACAGAGUCCUUAAAAUUUUUACCAUCUAAUAUCAUGUAAUAAUGUUUUAUGUUUAAAAAAUUACUUUUGUUAGUACUAUAAAAUUGUAUUGUGCAUUCUUUCAUAGUAUUUUUUUCUUUCUAAAUAUAAAAACUCGGAGUAGAAUAAGAUAUUUUGAGUGUUAAUAAUAACACUCUAAAAAACGAUAGUUUCUUAAUUUUAUUAUAUAAUAAUGUUAUAUAUUCAAGUGAAACUCUAAAGUUAGAAUUUUAAAGUUUUUUUUUCAUAUUUUUGUUUUGAAUUUUUUUUUUUAACAAACGAUAUUAUCUACACUAAAUAAGUGGUGGAGUGGACUAGCAAUAAUGUGGUUUUAAUUCGCUUUUGCAAAGAAUCGAACCUAAGAUCAUUCACUUACAAGUGAAUACUACUAGACCGUAGUACUAAGUGGCUUUGUUUUAAUUUUUUUUUGAAUAAAUGAUAUUAUCUACACUAAGGAGAGAGGUGGAAUUAUCAUCACAAUGGACUAGCAAUAAUGUGGUUCAAAUUCGCCUUUGGCGAGAAUCGAACCUAAGACCUCUCACUUACAAGUGAAAAGGAAUACCACGAGACCAUAUUGUUAAGUGGCAUCUUUGUUUUGAUUUAAGUGAAUGUUUUCUAGCAUCAACACAUUGUCCUACUUUUUUUUAAACUUAAAACUAUCUUAAGGAGGGGCCUUUUUACAAAUUUCGUUCAAGACCCCUAAAAUCUCAGAGACGGUCCUGGUCAGAUGGUGCAGCAGGCAUACACAGACAGCAGCACAGCCUUUUACACGGACAGAUGGUCACAACAAGCAGUAAUAUUUGGAGCAUAAAACACGAUACCACCAGAAGGCAGUCGAAUAGGGCCCCAAAUUUGAAGGGGCCCCUAAAAUUUUUAUCACCUAAUAUUUAUAUGUAAUAAUGUUCUAUAUUUAAAAAUUAUUUUUGUUAGCACUUUUAAAUCUCAUCGUGCAUUCCUUAUAAGCUUUAAUUUUUUUCCUUUCUAAAUAUAAAAAUUUUGAGUACAAUGAGAUACUUUUAAUGGCAAUAAUAAUACCUUAAAAAAGGGUAUUUUUUUUCAAUUUAUUAUAUAAUAAUGUUAUAUAUUCAAGUGAAACUUUAAAGUAGAGUUUUUGAAGUUUUUUUUUUCUUAUUUGGUUAUUUAAGAUUGAACUGCUUUUGAUUAUUUAGUGAACGUUAUGUUUGUAGCUAUUUUUAUUUAUUAUUAAUGACAUUUUUAAACUUGCAAUUAGUGAGUGCUAAACUUUAUUUUGAAUUAAGUGAUUACUUUCUAACGUCAAUACAUUAUCCUACAUUUUUAAAAAACUAUCUUAAAUAGGGGCCCUUUUAUUAAUUUCGCACAGAGCCCCCAAAAUCUCAGAGACGGCCCUGGAUACCACUCACGGGAAAAAGACAUGGUACAAUUACAAUACCUACGACAAGGAUUGUAGUAACACGUUUACGGUGCUCGACUUUAUUACAGUCCCAGUAGCUUAUAGUUUUUGUGUAGGGUUUUGGAUCGAAACUUAGCUCUUGAUGCCAAGAAAAAAUACGUUAAAUACUUUGUUAUAUUAUUCAUCUGUUAGGGUUUACAUUAUAUAGGCAUGCACCUUAUUCUAUAACGAAAGUAAUUACAAAAAAUAAGAAAACUAAAUCUUAAAAAUUACAUAUCCUAAUCCUACUUAAAAUAAGACUCGAUAACAUUUAAAUUAAGACUCAAAUUAACGUUAGCUACACCCUCCGCCUGCUCUUUCCCCUCUCACUCCCCUAAACCCACCCUCUAAUUCCCCUUAAACCCCUACCGCGACACCCACAUACGCCCCCUCGCCUGCCGUUGAAGCCCUAGAAAAUAUCGAAAACCUCCGCCUCAAAAGGAUGGUCAUCUCCUACUAAAGCCUUGAGCUUCAUUCCAGGUAAUUCCCAAUUUCAAGUCUCCUCACCCUCUCUUUCUUAUCCAUGCAGAAGAACUUCUUGUGAUGGGCCUAAUUUCAUGAAUCGAGUUCGAAAAUUUUGAACUUUGGUUUUGAUUUUGAUUUAGGAUUUUGGAGAUUUGACGAGGGGAAAAGGGUGUGUUUGGAUUAAAACUGAACUUCAGGCCCAAGGAUGGAGUCGGCCCAAAAGGGGGCCUAGAGGAAUAGAAGAUCAAAACCCAGCCGAAACUUGGGAAGGCAGGAAAGGGCAUUUUCUGACUUGAUACAAAUCACAAAGGCCACUUGCCUACCUACCCAAGGACCAAGUAGUGUAGACUGAUCAGACUGCACAGCCCAUAAAGUACUUUAUGAUGGCAUUACAUGUAAUAAAGCUGAUGAGUCAUCACCCUCAGACCGCAUUCGGGCAAAGCUGUUGCUACAGGAAGCCGAGUCAAGUCGUCUAUAAAAAGAAGAAGAGAAGACAGGAGCAAGGACACUCAAACAAACAAACAACUGCAAGCCAAAACUCUGCUCAAAGCCAGAUUUGCCUUCCAAACGAAGCUGUAGUCAGCCAAGCCUUCAUCCCAUUCGGGACCAACCUUUAUCCCUCGCGGGAUACUCUUUUCUCCUAAACUUUGUAAUAGCUCUGUUACCCUGCUCUAACUUGUUGUAGUAUCGAUUCACCCUUUUGUAUUCUCCUUCCCCUCUCCACCUCUAAGCUUCCAGACCUGUGACAGAACCACAAAGAUAAGGACCUGCAAGACGAUCAGCCUUAAUUGAUAAGGUUUAAUCUUGCCCGACCUGCUUUGUUCUGUCUUUGUCUUCUCUUUCUUUAAAGUCUAGCAAUAUGUUGUAUAUUUUUAGUAUAUGCAAGUCUGUUCCUAGCAAAAUCACUAUGACAAAGCUUUCUCAAUACUUGGAUCCGAUUUAAAUAUAUCUUCGAUGCUUAAAUCAGAUCCAAGUCCUAAGCCUGCAGGCAUGUAAAUCUGAUUAGUUUAAAAGUCCUUGGCCUCAAGGCAUAAAAAAGAACUUUAUGUGGACUUAACCCAUCCACGACAAUCCUUGAUAAACGAGAAGUCCGAAGUUACUUGGGGCGCAAGUAAUCGACCUACCUUCUAGUUUUCUUUCUAUUAUAUCAUGAUUAUCAUAGAAUGCUUAAGUAUGGGAUGAACUCUAAUGGAAAGCCUCAAGGUCUACACCUAAGGCCUCACAAAGGCAUCCAUUUGGAUUCAUCCUAUUCAGCGAUCUUAAGAGUCUAAGCAUAAGAAUGAACUCUGAUGGGAAGCCUCAAGGCCUACACCUAAGGCCUCACAAAGGCACCCAUUUGGGUUCGUUCUAUUCCUUGGAUCCGGGUAAUCAGAAAUAUAAUAGUUAGAAGACUCCUACAAUCACAAAAAUAAAUAUUAUGUGUUCGAGCACUGGUUUAGUUAUUGAUGGGAAGCCUCAAGGCCUACAUUUAAGGCCCCACAAAGGCACCUGUUGUAACUAACACGGUUUCUUGGAUACAUAUAUAUAUAUACAAUGAAAGAACGACAACCAUUUUACAUCUGCCAUGCUAAAGAUGGCAGUGGCACGCCUGAGCACCUAAAUGUUAACCUUGAUUGUGAGCCUCAAGGCCUACACCUAAGGCCCCAUAAAGGCACCUCUCAAAGUUAACGAUGUCCUUCUUUCAGCCUUGCCCGAAGAGUCUUGCCCGACAAGACUUGCCUGACGAGGCUUGCCCGACAACGCCCAGAAACGAAGCAGAAGCCCGACAGCAGCCCUCAACCGGCGCCAACCUCCAGGGGAGCUGUGUGCUCGUCGGCCAGGAAACAUCCCCAGCGGAAAUUCCUGCCACGAACAGGGUGGGUCGGCGAGCGACAGGAAGGGAUGGGCUUACGAAUAGACAAUGACGAAGGAGUCGUUGCAUCAAUGAAGAUGGAUGGCUCUGACGGCUCUAAUUUGGAAGACGAGGUGGAUGGCGGAAGUUCGCGCUUGGGUCGAAACGUAAAAAGGAGACGAGAUCAUCUUGAUUGAUUUUCAAUUUUUUAUUUUUAUUAAUUUUUUGUAUUUUAUAUUUUUUAAGAUCUGGGUCCAUAUUGACACGUAGAUGUCACAUCAUCAGUUAACGAAAGUUUCGAUUGAAAACUUAACGGAUAUAUGAAAGUCUAGAGUUAUGACUUUAGGUACAAAUAGGAAGAAAAAAAACUUAAAUUUAUAAAUAUUAUAAACUAAAAAACUUAAAGUAGUAAAUUGAAAUUAACCCGAAAAAUAAAGAGUUAUUAUCAUUUAAAAUUAGAGUAAAUUGAAGAGAUAGUCCCUCAAUUGUGAUCGAAUUGUAGCUUUAGUCCCUGAUCUAAAAAUCUAUUAGAUAUAGUCCUUCAACCUUACAAAAUGUGGAGCAUUAGUCCUUUGGUACUAACACGUAAGAUUUUCUGUUACUAUGAUGACAUGGUAUUUGUGGGCUCCACAUUUUCAUUGAUGUGGAUGCCAUGUGGCCUAAAAAAUCUAUAAAAAAAUACAAACACAAAGAAAGGAAAAAGAAACAUAAAAUAAAAAAGGUUGAAUUCUCUCUCCCAUCUUUCCCUUCCGCUCACCUUCUUCUCCAAACCCAGCCGUCAUUGUAGCACUCUUCCAACAACCAAACCAUAGAAAGUUUCAAAUCUAAAUUUGGAACACAAUGACCUCCAUCCUUGCAGCACCUUAGUCAACCUACCUUGACAGCUUAAUCUCCGGUUCCCCACCACCUGCAAUCACACAUAGGUCGGAACUUUGUGGGCUACAGGUUGGGAUUGACUGGGUUGUGGGGAUUGGUAGAUGGAGGAGGGGGUGGGGGGUGGGGUGGGAGGUGGGAGAUAGGCUGGGGAGUUGGUCAAAGACUCAAAUUUGAAGGGGUGGGCUGCGGGACUUGAAGUGUGGAUGGGUCUACAAAUUUUUUUUUUAUUUUUCAUUUUACUUCCUUUUUUUUUUAAUUUCUAAUCCAGGUAGCACUGAAUUAUUUAAGUGUGGGGCCUAUAAAUUUGCCACUCAAUAACGGAAAAUUUAACAAAUUUGACAUGAAAGACCAAUGCUUCACAUUUUAUCAAGUUUAGGGAUCAAAUUUAAUAGAUUUUUAAUUUAGAAACUAAAACUACAAUUUAACCAUAGUUCAGUGACUAUUCCUUCAAUUUACUCUUAAAACUAAACACAAAAUAAUAAAAAAAUGAAGAGUCGACAAAAAGGAGUCGACUAAACACAGAAUACUUAAAAAAAUGAAGAGUCGUCAUCAUCUGCAUCACCAUCAAAUUAAUUUAAAACUAAACACAGAAACUUUAAAAAAAAAAGAAACAAAAGAGUCGUCAUCAUCUUCAUCACCAUCAAAUUAAAAAUAAUUUAAAACUAAACAAGAAGUACUUGAGAAAAAAAGGAAAAUUUGCACAUAUACUACAUAAACUAUUAGAAGUGUGUGCAUUUACCACCGAACAAAAUAAUUUUGCAUUUACAACCUGGACUUUACAUUUGGGGGAGCAUUUUUCUCACCAACACUAAUUAUAGAGUAUGCUCACCACUCAAUUCAAUACUUGCCACGUGUAAUCCACUUUAACCCUAGUUAAGUUUAAUUUAUUUAAUUUUUCUACUCUAAUUAAUAAGACAGAAUUCUCCUUCGACCAAAAAAAAAGAAAGAAAAAAAAAGGGAGUUCUCCUAUCCCUCAUUUACUUCCAAAUUCACCCUUUCUUUCUCUUAUAUUUUAUUAAAACUCUUGCUUUUGAAUACAAACAGACUCCUGCACGCAUCUUCUUUUGGGUUUUUCAUUCUUCUUGUACGAAACCCACGGCAACAAAUUGAAGAACCUGCUAUUUUUCUCCGGCUAGAAAAAGUUAUGCAGCUCCCUUUUAUUUUAUUAGUCGUAUCGUCUAUUGUUGUGCUGUAAAAUUCAAAUUGAUGAGGACUUGAGUGCGUCAACUCAUUGGUGCAAUAUAUAUGCUUUUUAGUUUUUGUUAUAGGGUGUCAAUUUAAUUCAAUAUCAAGUAAGCUGAUGCUUAUAAUUCCCAUGAUGUCGAAUUACUCAUUUAUGAGUCCUUAGGUUUGUAUCUUCAUUGAAUGUACUGUACAGUGUGCUAUAUAUUGAUUUGCAGAAAAACAUUCAACUAAUAUCUUAGGGAACCACUCCUCAACUAAAAUUUUCAAAUCCACCAACAUUUUAGAUCAAAUUGUUAUAGAAUUUAGUGAAAAUUUUGUGGAACCACAUCCGUUGAAGUGGAGAAUAUUCAUCCUAUUAUCUUUGUACAAUUUUGUUUUGAUGAGUUUUGUUUAUACCAUAUUUAGGGUCUCUGUAUUUAGAUCUCGUAUAAAUACUUGAGAGACUUAAAUGUAAUUAUGUAAUAAAAGAAUGGGCAAAUAUGUAAAAAGGGGAGGAGCCCUUAUUUUAUAAAAGGGCAUCCUCACCCUUACAAACCCUAAGCCUCUCCUAUCUAGAGCAAAGCUCUCACACUCUCUCCCUCACAAAUACUCUCACACUCUCUCCCUCACAAAUACUCUCAAAUAAAUACAAUCAGUGUGGACAUAGUCCAAACCUUGGGGUGAACCACGAUACAUCUUGUGUUAUUUACAUUUCUUGCAGAUUCACGGUCGGAUUUACGUUGUUCCAAGACCUCCGGUUUUAUGCAUCAACAUUUGACGUUAUUUGUGGAAAUCGAUAUGAAAAGUUGUGUCGGUUCUCUUUCAUUUUUUCACAUCCACUGUGAAUCUGCAAAAACCCAAGUGCUCAUCCUCAAAGACCUUUUUUCCUCUUACACUUGUUGGUUGUUAAGCUCUUAGCCAUUUCCCGAAAUGCCCCCGCCGCUGGAUAUGUCGCUCGACGAUCUCAUCUGGAGGCGCAAGAAGUCGAAAGCCAGAGGGCAUCGCCUUGAUGAGUGACAGAUCCAUCCAGAAAGAAACAAAGUCUAACGACGUCGUCCCAACAAAUGUUGCACACCAUCAGCGCAUCACUAAUGGAAUGGCUGCAAUCAAUCCAACUUCACGAAUCAGUGUCCAAGUCCUUCAUGGCUUCUUGUCCUCAAGCCCUGAUGCCUACCUUUGUCGAAGAAAUAAGCAUCGUCUGAGCUCGCUCUAGCUUCCACAUGCAGAAGACCCUCUACUGGUUCGACUUCGUCGUAUUGUCGUAUUGGGCAUCCGCAGUCCCCAUCGUCUGCGACAACCCCAACCUAACCGUCAGCGACAUCGGCAACGUCAGGAUUGCGUCUGUGUCUGGCGCUGUGUUUGCCUGAAUAGCCAUGGGGACAGCGUGCGACUUGUUCGGUCCGCGGCUUGCCUCCGCCUCAUUCAUCCACUGCUGAAAUGAAAAGAAAAAGCAAUGCAACACUUUCUUGAGCUUGAAGUCUUAUAAUCUCCUCUUCAGCCAAUUUCAUGAACAUGUUCAUCGACUCUGAGAAUUUUCGGCUGCUGUCAUCUGACACCGUCGUCUCAUUUAAUUGCACAACAUCCGCAAUUUUGCUAAUUCCUUUAGAAAGCUUGGAAACAUCACUGCUAAGCACAUCAGAAUCCAUGACAGCAGCUUUCUUCACGUUACUGAGGUCUGAACUGAGAACUGAAACAACUUGCAGGCCAAGCCUCCUGCACUUGACAUCAUCACUCAAAGUUAGGUUUGAAGUUUGCCUGCCACCGUUGAGACGAGCAUCUUCCGUCCUUAUGAUUUCUUGUACGACAAAAUGCAAGAGUGUGGUUUUCCCAUCUGCCCCCUUGACGACAACCAGCUUGAUGAGUGUGUCCAGUUUGAAGGCUUGGGCAUCACCACGGUUUAUCCCAACAUUCAUUCGGUUUCCAGUCUUCAAAACAGCAUCUAGAAGCUUCAAGAACAUCCUGCUGUUUCUCAAUUCUUCACAGGCAGCCUAAGUAACGAAUAGCCAUGGGGAUAGUGCAUGCUGGUGCUGCCAUACAUUGUUGGCCUUCACCAUCAACAGUUGAAAUGAAAAGAAAAAGCAACGGAUGUAUGGAGAAAGCAAGAGCAAAAAUAAAACGCAGUGGAAAAUAAAAGGAAAAGCAAGUCUACAGGGAGGUGGAGAGACAGAGAGAGGCGCAGUGGGAAAUAGAAACCAAAGCAAAAGGAAAGGAAAAGAGAAAAGAAAGAAUUAUGCUUUCUUUAGUUAAAAGCUGAAGCAAGUUGGUGCUUUCUUCAUUUUGUCGACCACCCAUAGAAAAGCUAUGGAUAGCAGGCACGCAAAUCUGCAAAAGCAAGGAAUAAACACCCCAUUAGAAUGAUGUGAUUUACUUUUCUUGGCAGAUGUAUGAUGUAAUUUAUUUUUCCUAUCUUUCGAAGACAUCUGUAUAAACCUCAUCAGAGGGUAAUAAAAAAAAAAAAAGGUAAAGCCCAAAAUAAAUGGGUUGGAAUAUUGUGUGGAGAGUGAAGGCCCAUAAGCCCAAAAUAGCACUAACCAGGCGAUCAAAAGUACGCCCAGUACUACAAAAAAUUAUUCGGCACCCCGUCGUUAUUACCACCAACCAGGUGAUCAAAAGUACGCCCAGUACUUCAAAAUUAUUCGGCAACCUGCCGCUAUUAUUACCAACCAGGUAAUCAAAAGUACGCCAAAUACUUCAAAUUAUACAUGAGCAUUACUCAUGUCAAUCAUACAUAAACAUACAUGAGCAUUACUCAUGUCAAUAACACAUAAACAUUCAUGAGCAUCACUCAUGUCAAUCUUACAUAAACAUUCAUGAACAUCAUUCAUGUCAACAUUCAUGAGCAUCAUUCAUAUCAACAUCCAUGAGCAUCAUUCAUGUCAAUUAACAUAAACAUUCAUGAGCAUCACUUAUGUCAAUCAGCUUCAAAAGCUUCAUUUACAGAUAUCUAGCUUCAAAAACUUCAUUUACAAAAGCUCUAGCUUCAAAAGCUUCAUUUACAGAGCUCUAGCUUCAAAAACUUCAUUUACAAAAGCUCUAGCUUCAAAAGCUUCAUUUACAGAGCUACAGCUUCAAAAACUUUAUUUACAAAAGCUCUAGCUUCGAAAGUUUCAUUUACAAAGCUCUAGCUUCAAAGCUUCACUUGCAAAGCUUCACCUACAAAGCUUCACUUGCAAAGCUUCAGUGCAGGGUAUACAAAUACCACCUCCGAACAAUCGUCAUUUUGACCCAUACAUAUAUUCAAUUUGAAGUUUCCAGCCAACAGACUCUAUUGACCGAAGACUUAGGGGACUACAUUAUGUACCAUAUAUUGGGCCUUAACUAUGCCUCAUGAAAAUACUUGGGGGACUUAGCCCAUUAUCUAUGUACUGAGGAGUGAACCAUUAUUCUAUAAAAAUGACUCCUUCACUUUCAUUAGAGAGCUCUCAUGAAAAAUACUUGGGAGACUUAGCCCAUCACUUAUGUAUUAAGGAGCGAGCCCUUAUUCUAUAAAAGGGAUUCCCUCACUAUCAUUAGAGAGCAUCAACUCUAGCCCAUCAUUCAUGUAUUGAGGAGUGAGCCCUUAUUCUAUAAAAUGGACUCCCUCACCUUCAAACGCCACAAGCCGAGCCGAGCAGCCUUCGUUAGAGAGCAUCGCAGCCAAUUGAGCAACCGCCUCGCCACUAGCAUCACUCCUAACCCAUUAUUCAUGUACUGAUGAGCGAGCCCUUAUUUUAUAAAAGGGACUCCCCCACCUUCGUUAGAGAACAUCGCUACCAGCUGAGCAACCGCCUCGCUGCGAGCAUCACUCCUAACCCAUCAUUUAUGUAUUGAGGAGCGAUCCCUUAUUCUAUAAAAGGGACACCCUAACCAUCAUUAGAGAGCAUCAACUCUAGCCCAUCAUUCAUAUAUUGAGGAGUGAACCCUUAUUCUAUAAAAGGGACUCCCUCAACUUCAAAUGCCACAAGCCGAGCCAACCAAGGCAACAUAAGCCACGAGCCGAGCAGCCUCGCAGCGUGUGCUACUUCUAGUUAAGCAUCAUUUCAGAUUGAGCACUGCCUCAUAUCGAGCAUCAGUUCAAGACAGCAUCUAGUUACUUCGACUCACACAUGGAUUGAAUUUCAAGUCUCUAGCCAAAAAACUCUCUUGACUAAAGACUUGGGGAACUAUUGUUUAUACCAUACUUAGGGCCUCUGUAUUUAGAUCUCGUAUAAAUACUUGAGAGACUUAAAUGUAAUUAUGUAAUAAAGGAAGGGGCAAAUAUGUAAAAAUGGGAGGAUCCCUUAUUCUAUAAAAGGGCCUCCUCACCCUCACAAACCCUAAGCCUCUCCUAUCUAGAGCAAAGCUCUCACACUUUCUCCCUCACAAGUACUCUUAGAGAAAUACAAUCAGUGUGGACGUAGCCCAAACCUUGGGGUGAACCACGAUACAUCUUGUGUUAUUUACAUUUCUUGCAGAUUCACGGUCGGAUUUACGUUGUUCCAAGACCUCCGAUUUUGUACAUCAACAAGUUUCAUCUCAAAGAAUAUUCUGACUAUUAGCUAGGGUUAAAAUACUCCCUACAUUUAGUGUUAAUGUGCCACUUUUGACUAUAGGGUAUGCUCACCACCCAUCUUAUAGCUUGCCAUGUGUCUACUAGGCAUUAAUUACUAACCAAAGUUAAUGUUUUAAUUAAAAACUUUCAGUACUAUUCAUUUUAACGAAAAAUUAUAUUUUUAAACUAAAAAGUCAAUCAUGGUACUAUUCACUUUAUCUUUUAUUUUGUCUUUAUCGUUAAAACUUAAAGUUUUCGAGUUUUUUUUAUUACUUUUCCUUUUAAUUAAUGACUUGGAAGUUGUUUCGCGAGGGAAGUGAUAGAACCGCCGACAUAGUCCACUCGCCGCUGGUCAAGGCGUCGGGAAUUGGCUGGUGGCGAAUUUGAAGCUCUGUGGGUUUGUUUUUAUUUUAUUUUUUGUUUAAUUUCAGUGGGGAAGAACGAGGAAGGAGGAAAGAGGAAAUAAUGGGGAAGACGGAUGAGUGAGGAAGGAGGGUGAGAUAAUGGGUUGGUCGGGGUGGGCCCAAUAUUGAAUUUUUUAAAUUAUUUUAUGUUUAGUUUUAAAUUUUUAAUAUAUUCCAAAAAUUAAAAUAAAGUAAUUAAUUAUUUUAUGCUUAGUUUUAAAAUUUUAAUAUAUUCCAAAAAUUAAAAUAAAGUAAUUAAUUAAAAAGCUUACUUUGGUUAAUUAGUGAGACAUAUGUCAAAUUAUAAGAUGAGUGAUGAGCAUACCAUAUAAUUAAGGUGAUGAAUAAAAAUGCUCGCAUAUUCUCCGUUAAAAUCUCAUCUGACUUCCAUGUGUGCUGAUUUGAGAUUGAGAAAUCAAACCAAAUAAGAAUGUUAUAAACAAAAAAUUGAAAAAGAAAAGAAAAAAGAAAUUUUUUGCAGGAGAUUGAGAUGGGGAAGGCAGAUUGUCUGCCCUCCUGUUUGGGUGCUCUUUUCAUCACAUUUUAUUUUGUACGGUCACGGUUAAAUUACGUUAAUAUUUUAUAUUAAUUUUUUUAUAAAGAUAAUAAGAUAAAAAGUAAUAAGAAUAUAAAAUAUUAACGUAUCUUAACUGUGAUCGCAUAAAUAAAAUAAGAUAAAAAGAGCAUCCAAACAGGAGGCAGCCCUGAGAUGGAGCGGGAGACUCGUAUAAAAAUCAGUCUCUCUUCUCUCUCCUCUCAAUUUCAAAAAAAAAAAAAAAAAAAUUUGCGGAACUGUCAUCAGUGUUUUUCUCUCUUUUUUUCAUCAAAAAGCUGGAGGAACCAUUUCAAUUUCACAAUCAAAAGGUCCGCCUCUCUCUUCUCUUUCAACAUGCACUGUCGAAUCCCCCGUCUUCGCGGCUUCCCUUUUAGCGGGCUGCUGCUCAAAGCCUUCGAGUCCCAAUCUUCUCAAGACAGCCCAAGCAACGAUUUUCGAUCCAAGCUAUUUAGAUUUACUCCUCUUUCUCCUUCCUCGGUUUAAUGGGUUUCACGUCAAAUACGAAACUGACAAAUUUCUUCUUUCUUCCUGCGAUUUAUUGCUUGGCUGUGCAAAAAUCUUAAUUUUUGAGUUGUAACGGUGUUGGAAAAUACCCAAAAAAAAUCACAUAUUAACAUUUUAUUCUUGGUUUUUGGAUGUUUUUGGUUGGGUGAAGAAAAUAACUCGGGUUUGGGAUGGAUGAAGGGGGUAAAGAUCGGUUUUUGGGAUGUAUAAUUUGUUGGAUUGAUUUAAAUUAAUUUUUAGGUUGAGAAAGUGAAUGACAAAGCCAGACCUGUACCUUCCUCACUCCAUCUCUCUCCUCCUCCCCUCCCUCUCUAUCUCAAUCCCACGCAAUAUUUUCCUUUUUUCUUUUCGUUUUCAUUUUUUUUGUUUAUAACAUUCUUAUUUGGUUUGAUUUCUUAAAUAAUUAAAAUAUUAUAUUUCUCAAAUCAGGCAAGUCAGAUGGGGUUUGUAACGGAAUACAUCGCAGAAAAUGUUAAAGUGGCACAUAGCACCAAAUGGAAAGUUCAGGCGGCAAAUGCCACAAUUGUUUUGUUUGGGUGGGAAAUGCACACACCUCUAAUAGUGUAGGUGGUAUAUGUGCAAAUUUUCCUAAAAAAAUGAAAAGUCGUCGCCAUCUUUAUCAUCAUCAAAUUAAAAAAAAUAUAAAACCAAUCCAACGCAACAGCCUUGACUAAUCACCUUGCAGCAGCCAGUCGUCAUCACCAUAGUACAGCCCACCAAUCCUGACCAUUCACCUUGCACCAGCCAACCCACCUUCUGGCACACUAUAAAUUUUAUACCUCUCAAUAUAGGGAACUUUAACGAAAAGCACCCGGUACUGUUCACUUUAACGAAAAACCACAUUUUUACACUAAAAAGUCAAUCCUGGUACUAUUCACUUUACCUUUUAUUUUGUUCUUAUCAUUAAAACUCAAAGUUUUCAAGCACUUUUCUUUAGUUUUCCUCUCAAUAUAACAUUUUCUUGGGGUGAUGAAGAUGAAGGGUAAGCGUGUGGGCAUGAAUGGGAGGACAAUUUUGUGAAUUGAUUUUCUCUCUCAUAAUAAUAUAUCAUAAUAUAUAUAUAUAUAUAUAUAUAUAUAUAUAUAUAUAUAAUUUUGCAACGGUUGAACAUGCGGCCGGCCUGGAGGAAAACCGCGCCUCUGACAGAUGCAAAUAAGGAGAGAUUUUUCAAUGUAAUUGUCACACGAGAUAAUACAUUACGUAUUUCUAUAUAAAUUAUGGGAUAUGUGUGAUAAAAGCUUAAUAAUUUAAAAAUUAAAAUUUUUCGCCACUUACAUAAAAAAAACGUGAUGUACCAUUUGAAUUCCCAUCACAACUAAAAAUUUCUUGCAAAUAAUAAGUUAAAAACGAAGUUUGGCAAGCACUUUCAACGAAAUGAGUAUUAUUUUUAUAUGAUAAUGACGUACAGCUCACGGUUUGUGUCUAUUUCGCGGAAAUUAUUAAACAUUUUCUUGCGCUAUUCCUCCAGCUGCUAGAUAUCAGGAUAUCCUCUUGGAAGAGAUCAACAAUUUUAGCUAUGGACUGCCAUGUUCCGUCACUCACACAAACGACAGGAACAGCGCUCCCACAAGAACUAGCCAAGGCGGUGAAUAAACAGAAGACACUGGAAAGCAUCGGCGAUAAACAAGGGGAAGCAGUAAGCCGUCUGGGAACAACGUUGAUAUCGCUGGUCGUCUUUUAUAUCUCCCUACAAACCUUCAUAUUCCAUUCUGUUAGCCAAAAUCCAAACAUUCCGUGCAAGUUCUGGUGGGCGCCGUUCAGCCUCUCGUGUCUGAAUUGUGUCAUCUUCACCAUCCCCUUCAAGAGUUUCGUCACGAGAUGGGAGCGUACUCAACGUUAUUACGAUAUCAAUUUUCUUGAGCAAGAUUUGGUUCACCUCGAGAUUGUGAUUUUCUCCUCGGAUCACGAUCAGCAGCUGGAGCAGCCGGCGGAGAUGUUGAGGAGCGAUACGACGAAAAUAUAUCAGAGACGCGCCUUCAUCUGUUUGGUUUCUUUAGCUCUUGUCGCGUACACUAUUGUCGUCUUAACGGCAUGUCGAUACAUUCCCUGUCACAAAGUUGCUGUUCUGUAAACAUAGGUGGUUGGAUUAAGACUUCAAAUUACUCUCGGACCGAUUAAUUAAUUUGGACAGCUGGCCUCUUGAUUAUUUCUGGCCGGCUUCUUAGAAAAAUAAGUGGCCUUUUUAGGAAGUUGAAGAGAUCUUUUAAUUAUGGUAGUUGAAUGGUGAUGGUAAUACGUAUUUAGAGUUUUAUUAAUUAUGGUGGUUGAUUGGUUGUUGUAAUAUGUAUUUGAAUUGGUGAUUGUAAUAUGUAUUUGUACCCGAGGAACUCUUUUGUGCGAGCGUUGUUUGCAGAAUUGAAAACUUGUAUGAAAGAUUAUGUUUGAAAGAAUAACAGAUUGUGUUGCAAAAAUAAAUACUAUUUAUAUCGAAAAUGUUGGGUGGACCGUUAGAAACAAAGGAUUUGAUCGCCACAUUUCACACAGAUAGUUCAUGUGGCCUUGGAUUGAUAGCAAAAACAGGAAGACAUUGGUAUAUUAGCAAGCUGGAGAGGUAAAUAAGAGAACAACAAUGUUGCAUCUGGAGUUAUCUGAAGCAAUAAAGUAUAAUUAUUUAAGAUGGCGCAUAAAAGCUUAACUACAGCUACAUUGAAGAAUACCAUGUGAAGAUGCAGAGACAGACUAAAACAUGAGAGCCCACCCAUGUUCGCACCCAGCAAGAUGCUACGUUAGUAAGAAUACUGCACUUGAGAUAAAAUCUAGAGCUGUAAUUGGCAUUUCAGAAAACCAAGUUGUAAAACUGUGAAAAUUGAAAUAAAAAUCAAACAUGCAAGAAUCCACAGAACAUGAAACACAUAAUAAUAAAUACAGAACUCACCAAACCACUUACCCGAACAACAAGCUUACAGAGAGUAGACCUGUGAGUUUUACAUGUAUAAUCAGAAAAAUAACAAAACUGAAAUAAGUUUUUAAUUUUUCAGAGACUUGAAAUACUUGUUUCAUGUCUGUGUAUGUGAUUUUAAGUACUUGUUCGAUAUUAUGUAUUUGUUUUUCUUCAAUGUGUAGUGCUUACCAUUCUUUUUUCAACUCCUCCACAAAGUCCAUGAUAAAAAUAAAUAAAAUAAAUUAAAAAAAAAAAACAGAAAGAAUCCAUGGUAUAAUUGUCAGAAUAACAGAACUGAAAAUAAGAUCUCGAGUUCACAGACUGCGAGUACUUGUUUGAAGUCUGUUAAUGUGAUUUAAGUACUUUGUUUCAUAGUAUGUAUUUUUUUUUUCUUCAACACAUAAGUUUCACAUAUAUGUCAAUUUGCGCAAGGUUUCUAAUAUGGAAAAGAGGAUGUAUUUCAGGUGGGAAGAGCAGGUUUAACAUCACCAACAGGCAGCAAAAACGAAAAAAAAAAAGUGUAAAAUACUGACCUUUCACUGCGAUUGUAACAAAAUCGGCAAGGCAGAUUCAACCAAGAGAUCAGGCACAGCCCUCACCUGAAACUGAUCCCAUCAAUCAAAUCCCAAAAUUAACUGCAAAUCACAAAAUUACGUGCCCCAAAUCGGCCAGAGAACUCAUCCAAGAACUCAUCAGGAACAGAUAAUUACAUUUUUUUCAUCAUUAUCAAGAGUAUCUUUGAUUGCAUCAACCUUUGACGCCAACCUCAGAAGGGUGCAUCUAACUCUAACAACAUUCCUCAACAACAAUAUUAAUACCAUGGAUGCCAUGCAUGACAACUUUGCAUAGGCAGCGCCAAAUGUGUUUCUGGUAGAUGCCAUGCAUGACCCACAUGUAAAGAUAUUACACGGGGUUGCUCCAACAGUAUGGUCUAAAAAGAAAGAAACACAUUGAUCUAAGGAUAACAAGAAGAAACAGUUGAAAAAACAGAAAUUCAUUAUAUACCAGCAAGCAAAUGGAUUAGCAGUGAAAUCAUGAUAUCUCAGACCAUUCUCAGUCUGUUAUUAGUGGCAAAAAAGACGCAAAAUAGUUUACAUAAGAAGAAUUAGUUCAAUAAGAAACGCAUUAUAAGUAACGUUACAAAAGCACACCUAUAACGGAAGAUAACAUGCACUAUAAAGGUCGCUUAUAAACCAAGAGCAGCAGCACUCAACACUAAGUUUUUUUUUUUUUUUUGGUUGAAAGGAAACAAAAGAAUUUUAUAAAAAGGAAAGAAAUUACAAAAGAGGAAAAGAAAACCACGUGGAAAAGAUAUCCACCUGGAGCUAGAAGAUAACUAGCAAGGACCCCUAGUGAAAACUAAUUGAACAGAGGAAAAGCUAUACCGAAUCAAUUAACGGCUGCUAACAAAUCCCUAAAUAUAGAAGAGAGAUUGUAAUCUCUAAACUCCACUGAAACCGAAGCCCAAAGGGCUGCCCAGUGUCUUACUCUAUCCCAAAGCUCCUCUACCCCCACUCCCUUGUAAUCCUCAAAGACUCUUUUAUUACGCUCGAACCAAAUGUUCCAGAAGAGGGCCAUCAACAGAGAUCCCCACAAGGUUUUGGCUUUUCUCCCUUUCCCAAGGGCUUCGAACUUAGUGCUUAGGAGCUCAACACUAAGUAUUCAGCAACACAAAGAACAAUAUUGCAAAUUUUUAUAUGAAUGGCUAAAAUAUGACUUAUGUUUAAGUAAUUAUCUAAACCAGCAUAACAGCUAAUACUGUCACAGAUAUGCUCUAGAAUAAAUUGUGUUUCCUUUAGGUUCCUAAAGUCUAACAGAACUGUUUUUAGCCGGUAUCCAAGUUAGAGCCAUAUUUAAAUUUCACUACACAUAAAAUGCACACCAAAUUAUACAAAAAUUAUGAUUUUAAUUGGGGCCAUAUCGUAAAAACAUAACCAACAAUAUUAAUACCAUAGAUUGUAAAUAAAUACUUUGCACAUACGAAGUAAAUUCAUAAGCUAAACUUCUUACUCUGAAUUUGUUAUAGAUCCAGCAGCAGCCUCAUGCCUCCUGUGCAAGUGUGCCUCCAGAAUGUCCAUGAAUCAGAUGCAAUGCAAUCUCAUUAGGGUAUGCAUGUAUUUAGAAGGUAAAACAAACAACUCAAACUAAUAUACAAUGCUCCCUCGCACAGACAGACGGAAAGAAAAACAUAGAUGUCUGAAAACAAUUUCAUGCAUUUAGUUUCACAUCAAAAAAAAAAAAACAUGACAUAGUACAACGCAUCAACUGAACCCUGUUUUAGAAGAUCCAAUGCACAUUUCAGAAUGCAUGUACAUGCACUUAUAUAUUUCAGAUAACUAAUACAAAAGUGAAUAAAUAAAGUAACCCUCCUCGCAAUUUCAAACACAAACCAAAUAGCUGACACCAAUAGGAAAAGGUAAAAAACAGAAGCUACAAGAAGAAGCCAAACUUAUCAAGAGCAGUGACACUAAGAUUCAAUUUAAAUAGAUUUCCAAGCGAACCCAGUAGCUUUACCUAGGAAGAACAGAAGGGCAAAGCAUGCAGCAUAAUGACAUUCAAUACAAGCGAAACCAAGGUACCUUCUCCUGGGUUCCUUUUAAGCAUCUAACCGCUGGAGGGUUGCCUCAUAGCAGUAUCACAUAUCCUGAAUGAAAAGUCAAAUUAGAAUCUCCUGAACCCAAAUAAUUAAGAUACAGUGGUAUACUAUAAAGAUACAACUUACAGAAAGGACAUGAAAAUGAAGGAUGUUUAACAAACCUACCAAUCAUAAAGUAAAUUCUAAAGACCACGAUUACUAAAGAAUGAACUUCAAUACAAUUAUACAAGCAACCAAGAAAAAAAAUAUAUAUAUAGAAGUAGAUAGAGUAUAGAAGACGAGGGUUUACUCUGCCUUCAGGGCUCCUCUUCAUUCUUUCGAGAACUCUCUCAAAUGCAGGCUUCCCAGUUGUCUCUCCAAGAGUUACUAUGAGAUCAGUUCAUCUUGGGUCCAGCAAUGCGCCCACAGUUGAACCGACCGCAACAGUCUAACACGAGGACUUCCUAACAUGGCAACUCUCCGAUUUUCUUGCAAUGCAAAUCAUUACAUGCAAAUUUCAGCAACAAUAAAUGAAGAAGAACAUCAAUUUGAUCAAAACCUAAUUAUCAUAUAACUUAAAUUGAUCAAACCCAAAUACCAAAUUGUAGAAAAAUUAAUUGAAACCCAAUUGAAUAGAGAUAAAACCCAACUCACAAACCAAGAGAACAAAACCCAAUCAGCAAAAUCUCAGAUUUGAUCCCAAAAAUCACCAAAUCAGAGAAAAACAAGCCGAACACAAUUGAACACAGGCAAAACCCAGAGGAAAAUCACCUGAGCUGCGGACUACCAGAGCCAGAAGUGGCAUGAUCAGUCGAGUCGGAGGGAGAGCACGUGAGAGCAGGGAGGCGUAUCGCAGCGAAUCGAGCGAGGUGAGCGAGGUGUCAGUGUGCGACGUCGAGAGGAGCAGGUCCUGAGUUUGGAGGGGGAGCGGCAAGGUCGGGGUAUCGAGAUCGAUUUUGGAGUCUGGAGGCAGGUACGUGGGGUGUAUCAGCUAGGUUUAUUUAGAGAUACGUUCGGAUUUUGCUUCGGUUGGCUUUUUUCCAUUCGAAUUUUUCCGGUUUCAUUCAAUAUUCUGUUUUUCGGCUUUUCGUACCCACGUUUAAAUUAUCAAAUAAAUUGCAUAAAAUUACCACAAUUAUAAAUCGAAUCAUAAUUUCAUACCUUAUGUUUUUAACAUUUGAAUGACAUAACUCAACUUAUGAAGUCGUUGUAAUAUCAAGUUCGUUAAAUUUUAUGUUAAUUUGACACUUAAAUAAUGAUGUAACAGGAAUGAGAAACACUCUUUUACCAACUAAAAUAACCCCCCCCCCCCCCCGCGGCGGCGCCAUUCCAACCCCCAGGGCCAGCCCACAACAUCUACAUUCCUUCAAUUCCUUUCAUUCUUUCAAUUCCAGAACAAUCAUCGAAUUUGUUGGUUUGGGUUUCAACCGCAAGCCCCUCCUCGACUAUCUCAUUUGAAAUAUCUCAUCCCUCGACUCCAUCGAGUUCCUCCUCCCUCCCUAGAACGACGUCUUACACGGUGAAAUUUCCGGAAUUUUAUGAGGAAUGGAGCUUGAGAGGAAUUUUAUGAAGAAUGGAGCUUGAGAGGCAGCUCACAGUAGCAUAUUCUUCUCAACAAAAUGGUGUUCUUAGAGGAAUGAUACGACUAUUGUGGAGAUAGCCAAAAGCAUGUUGCAUGAGAAGAAGUUUCCCUGUUACUUUUGGGAUGAGGCAGUUAAUACUGCAGUCUACAUACUCAGCAGACGUCCAACUAAAGUUGUUGAUAACAUGACUCCAUUCCAUUUGAGGCAAUCAGUGGCAGACUGCAAUGAAUCAAAGCACCUUAAGUAUUUGGCUGCACCUUUUAUAGUUAUACCAUGUUAACUGAGACUAGGGAUGGGCAAAUACCCAUUGGUUAUGGAUAACCGCGGUUACCCGUCCAUUUAAAUUAAACGGUUACGGUUAUGCGUAACCGUUUAGAUAAAUAAACGGUUAUGGGUAUAACCGUUUACCCGCAAAAUUUAAAUAGACGGUUAUGGGUAUUAACCACGGUUAUAAACGGGUAACCGUUUACCUAUUUAUUUUAUAUAUGUAAAACUAACACAAACCAUGUUCUCGAUCCAAUAAUACUUAGCACCCAAUAAAUUAGCAAGGAAUUCAUCGGUCAUUCUCUCAAUAACACUACUACAGGAAUGAUAAUUCUCAUCAUCAAGGAAUUGGCCAAAUUAAUUUAAAUUUCUUGCGGGUAACCGUGAAAUUGACAGAAAUGCUUUGACAGAAAUGUCUUCUAAACAAUUUUUGUAACCCAAUAAUACUUAACAAAUUGUAUAUUUACCUUCAUUGGUAACAGUUAAAAAUAUCGUCCAUAAACUAUUAUUUCAAUUAUUGGAAUGGUAUAAGGACUUAAAAAAUUAAAAUAUGGAAAUGUAUGAUGAAUGUACCUAUAACGGUGUUUAAUUGUCUAAAAAAAUAAAUUAUGACAAUUUUUUUUUAAUUUUCAAGUUGUUAAAAAAUAUGUAGAUGGGUGAAAAAAGGGUAAUGGUAAAAAAAAAUGAUAAACGGGUUAAAAAUGAUAAAUGGGUAAACGGGUAUUAAACGGUUACGGUUAAAUGAGUAUGCGGUUAUGGGUAUGGUUAACCGUUUAUAAACGGUUAUGGGUAUGGGUAUAACUGUUUAGGCAAUUACCCAACGGGUAAACGGUUAUACGGGUAUAAGCAUAAACGGUUAUGGGUAAAUUAACCGCGAUUACCCGCCCGCAUAACCAUUGCCCAUCCCUAACUGAGACAGAAGUUGGAUGAAGAAUCUGUCAGAGGAAUAUUUGUGCGUUAUGGAAAGGCUGAGAAAGGUUACGGAUUCUUCAGUUUGACUACAAGGAAGAUUAUGUUAUCUAGAAGCGUAAUAUUUGAUGAAGAUGGAACGUGGGAUUGGAAGUCUGAUGAAGAAGCCCUAAGGCAUUUCAAGUGAAUAGUCUUGAUGAAAAGCUAAAGGGAGUUAAGAUUGAUCAAAUUGACACUGACGAAGCAUUUCGGGUAGAAGGGAGAAAUAUUCAACAUGUGUUUGAAAAUUCUCAAACUGAGCAAGGUGAAUCUGUAAAAUCCAAUCAAAUGACUGAAAUAGAAUUGGCCAGAAUGAAUGUAUUGAUAUUAGUCUACUAACUUUAUACAGAGAGUUCCCUAUAAACAAGCAGCUGAUCUUGCAAUACUACCAUACAAGAAAGGAAGAAAAUAUAUACAUAAUAAUUACUGAUUACACGCCUAUUCUAGGCCCUUUAUGAUAGGGAUCCUGAUUGCUUUCUAACAGAAUCUAGUUCCUGAAGUGAUACUCCAAUCAGGCCAUAUAUUUUCAUCUGGCAAUGGGAUUUUCUCUUGGGCUUCAGUUAAGCAGCACAGUGUGACACUGUCAACUGCAAAAGCAGAAUACAUGAGUGCAUCAUAACAACAACUCAGGUUGUGUGGCUCAGGUUUGUGUCAGAAGAUUUUGGUCAGGAACAAACUGAAGCAAUUCACCUUUUUGGUGAUAACAUUUCUGCAAUUGCAAGGAUAAGAAAUUCAGUCUUUCAUCAGAUUUCAAAGCAUAUUGGCAAAAGGUCUCAUUCCAUUAGAGAAAUCCAACAUUAUCAAUCUUGUCUAAUGCGAGUCUGAAGAACAAUUGGCAUAUAUUUUUACAAAAGUGUUGCCAAACGACAAGUUCUACAUGCUCAGAGGUCUAUUUGAAGUGAAAUCAACUACAGGUUUAGAAGAAAGUGCUGAGAUAUAAGCAUUUGUCCAGAUUUUCUUUAUUUUUUAGCUUUGAAUUUCUGGAUUUGUUGUUAUUGAUUAUAAUGAACGACUAGGAUUAGAGCUAGCUCAUAGACUAAACUAGAAAUCUAUGCCCCCGCAUUGUUGCACGAUUGAAAACCGUACGGAAGUUUAUGUUUGAAAUAUAUGAAAAAUUGUGUUGCAAAAGGUUAAUUUCCUUCAUUUAAUUUGCUCGAAAUAAAGGACAUCAAAAUCUCAACCAGAAGGUGAGGAAAUUAAUUAUUGUGUAUAACAACCCUAAAAAAGAUACUAACUUUAGAAUCAAUUCAAGUAUAUUAACAACAUGUUCGCACUCAGUAGAGAAAAACUAAUCGAAAGCAAACCUGCAAUUCUUCUAACUUUAUUCUUUAGCCUAAAGAUAAUUUGUGGGCAAAAACCCCACAAAACCCUUCAUUUAUUUUGUAAAAGAGAGCAAACUUUAAUCAAAUGGCAUUUCACGUCCUGAUAUAUGAUAACCAAAACAAUAGCAAGCAACUUCAGGUGUUCUAUAAAAAUUAAGACCAAAGUUAACCAAUAAUUCCAAAAAAAAAACAAAAACAAAACAAACAAACAAACCUCAUGUAUGAACAAAGAAUUUUAAUGUGGAAUAAUUACUUUAUUUCUUUUUUGGUUGAAGAAAUAAUUACUUUUAAGACAUAAAAAUUUAAACAAUCCAACCCAACUCAAAAUUCCAUUUCUCAUCAAGAAAAAUAGCGGUUUUUAGUCAAAAUAGUCCCUGAAAUAUGCAUAAUUUAUCACUUUAGUCUUUGCGAUUUGAAAUUAAUAGAAAUGGUUCAUGUUUAAGGUUCUAAAAAAUGCUAGGCGCUAGUCGGGCGCCUAGCAACUAGGCGGCUAGGCGAGGUCUAGGUGGGCGCCUAGACGGAUUUAGGUAAUUUUCUUAUAUAUUAUAUGAAUUAAUUAAAUUUAUUAUAUCAAAUGUAAAUAAUUAUUGAAUAUUAUGUUAUUUCUUAUAGAAGAACAUAUAUAUGUGAAUGUUUUAUGUACAUAUAUAAUAUGCUUGCCUAUGAAAAAAAAAACAAAAUAUUAUCUAAAUAAUUCAUAAUUUAUAUAACCUUUAUAUAUAUAUAUAUUGAGCGCCUAGGCGGCCGCCUAAGUCCUCCCCGCCUAACUGAACGUUUUGGUCUAAAUCGAGUCAGAGCUCUGCCGCCUAGAUCGAUUUUUAGAACACUGUUUAUCCACAAUCAUUCACUUUAGUAAUUCCACUAUUCAUCCUAUCUAACAAAGUGGGCUUCAAUUUUUUAUUCACACUUUUGCCUUCAGAUAUCUCUCUAUUCUCAACUCCAGACUGCUCUGCAUGCUCAGCACAAAAAUAUCAGUCCGGAAGCUGGAAGUCCAUAGGUUUUAUCUCCCCCGAUUUGCUCGAUGAUGUCUCCCCCGAUCUGAUAGUAUGUAUUCUUUUUUUCCCUUUUUAAAGAUUUUUUUGCUAAUAUUUCACAGUACAUAUGUUGAGUAAUUUUCUGAAGAGUAAACAUGUUUUAGAUUUGAAUAUGCAGCAAUUGAUGCACCUGGAGGAUUCCUCUUUCAAUGGUGCUCUGUCUUUGCAUCUGAGUAUAUUUGUACCGUAAAAAAGUUAAGGUCUGGGUCUUCCGAUUCCGGCGAGCUGUUUCCGUAAGAACGUCGGCGCACCGUGUACCGCGCCGUCAACCACAGUCCUCCCUGUUUUAUUUCCGAAUGGUAAUUUCACAAUUUCCACCAUUUUUCACAUUUUCCGCCAUUUUUUCUCAUUCGCAUUUGUUUACAGGGAGGUCGGAGCUUUAGGAGUGUGAAGAAGAGUAUACAGAGAUUGGAGGAAGCAGCUGUUUCCUGUAGGGGACUCGAAAGACUUGAGAUACUGAGAAGGUGGGUGCUGCUGCUUAACCCGAAAGACUCUAGAUACUGAGAAGGUGGGUGCUGCUGCUUAAAGAGGUGGAGAGGCUGAAGCUUUCUCAGGGUUAUGUGGAAGAGAAUGAAAGUGCGCCGAAACAACCUGUUUGCUGCCGAUGGCACGAAUGAGAUUCGAAAAAGAAUAUCUCUGGUUCGAUUAUGUUUUGUUUUUGCAAUUUUAUUCCAUUUCAUUCAGUUUUAUUGCUUUUGUUGGAGUAUAGUUUGCUGUUGAAACUUAUCAUUUUGGUAAUGUAAUUAGGUUUGUAUUAUGACUCUGAUGUUCGCAGUGAACCAAUGGAUUUCCGCGAAGUUUUUCUUCAAAAUCAGGCUUUGGAGGGCAUAACACUAUCUAUGGUAAUAUAUCUGAGAAAUGAAUGCUGCUUAUAUUAAUGAAAUUUAAAACAUCUCUAUCAAAGGAAUGAGAUGAAUGCUAAGAUGGAUGACUAAAUGUGCUACGCUAAGAGAUUACUUAUUUUGUUAGUUAGGGGAAGCACUUAGUGGAAGCAGGAUGGGAAAUUAUUCAAGUAUAGAUGAUUUUGUUGAGCCGGCUGCUCUUUGUUUUUGCUCAGGCAUUGCCACACAUGCACUUGGUUUGUGAGGUAUAUGGAGUUUUGCGUUGGUGGAUUCGAGAGCAUAGAGCUUUCAGUGCUUCUUUGCAACUACGAGGUCAUCUGAAAACUUAACAAGGAAUGGAGAAACAAGGGCCAUGCCACUGAUGUUCUUUCGCUGUCGCAGCAUGUCCCUAAUCUUAAGCUUCCCAUUAUACUAGCUCAUUACUUUUUUAGUUUUUUGGUUCCGUUUCUUUUUGCAUAAUUUUAAUCACUGAACAUUUGUAUUAUAUGCAGCUUAUGUUGGGUGACAUUGUGAUUUCUGUUGAGACAGCGACAAGGCAAGCAGAGGAAAGAGGCCACAAGCUUAUUGAUGAGAUACGUGUUCUCAUGGUUAGUUGGUUUUAGGAUUUUUUCCGUUAGAGAGCUUUUUAGUGUCGUUUGAUGACUUUAAUUACUGAACCCUCCUGCAGAUACAUGAGUUGUUCAUUUACUAGGAUUUGAUCAUGAGAUUAGUGAAGAGGCCGAAGUGGAAAUGGAGAAGGAGGAGCUUCUUUUAAAGAGUCUUGGGUGGAAGGGGAAAUGAUUAAUUCAAAGUGCACAUGAUGCCGAAACUCACAAAUUCCCAUGAGGGAAAACCAGAUGGUAAUUUCAUCUUUUACAGCUUCAGUUUCACAUCAUUCGUCAUUGGAUUUGCUAAUAUAAGUUUUUAGUGAGAUAAUCUUACUGGUGAAUUGUUAAAAGGCAGGAAGAGAGAAAGCAGCCUGUGAUUUUAUAAACUAAAGUUCAGAUGCAUUUUCUGUGGUAUGGAUGGUAAGUUGGCGGUUAAUGUAAUCCUGCGCCUUCAUUGUGCGUUGUUUUUUUAUUUUUAUUUGUUAGUUGAGCAGUUGAUACAUUAUAUGACAGUUGAUCUGCAAGAUGCAAAGAUGAUUUCUUUGUUUCUAUAUACUGUUUAAUUAUAUCAAUGGAAAUUGGUGCUGCUAUUCUGGCAGUAGAUGAAUUUCUGGCUGUUGAGAUGAAUUACCAAAAAAUUGUGGUUUCUUUUUCCUUUACAUGCUUUUCUUUUAAUUUUGCAGGAAUUCUCACGUUGCUUUGAUAAAAUUAUACAUGGCCAUGAUAAGGUAUUGCUCAUCCCCACAAACAUUUUGUACAUGUGUGGCAUUAAUAUAUUUUGUUUUCUGAUUGAAUUUGUUUUGAUUCAAUGGGGUUGGUGAGCUAAAUAGCAAGUGGCUUUCUUUUGGUUUUUGGAUGGCUCUUUUGGGUUGUUCUUAAGUUCAUUUUUUCUGAUUGAAUUUCAUUUGAUUCAAUGGGAAUUACACUUGUGGUUUGUAAAUUGAAAUGCAUGUAUCGUGAAAUUCAUUAUUUUGAGUAUGUUCUUACCUGACAUUUGUAAACUUUGAGUAUGUUCUUACCUGCCAUUUGUAAGCUUCUGAUUAGUUAUGAAAGUUGAUAUAUUUUGUCUGUGUUUAUAAACGUAUGACGCACAAUCAGUUUCUUUUGAGUUGGGUUGAAAUGAUGUUGAUUGUGCUGUUAUAAAGCUCCUUUCUAUAGUUAGGUUGAAAAUCAUGUUCAAAGAUUCUUUAUUUGGUUGGUCUGAUCUAUAACAGAUUGAUUGUUUUCUUUGAAUCAAAAUUUAUCUUUUUUUGUGUGAAAUUAUAAUGGAAUCGCAAAUUUGUCAGGUAUAUCUUGGAUUCUUGAUUGCACCUACCCACAACUAUUACAUUAUGUCUCUUGACCGGAUGGAUUUUUAUAAUUUCUAGGAUCUACAGUUCCAAUGCUUUUGAUGCAUAAAGUAAGGAGGAAGCUACUCCUCUGGAGCUUCUUUGGCAUGGUAAGUUGAAGUUGUGUAUCAUUUUUUUCAUUCACGAAAUUCAUUAUCUUGCUAGCUUGGCAAUUAGUAGUGUGCAGAAUUGGUAAACUGUAUGAACAAAUGUGUGGAAGUUUGAAUUGUACAAAUGAAAGUGAAUUUUAACAACUCCAACAUAGAUUUCCUAAUAAUUCAAUCCAUCUUUCUUUCAUUUGUGUUCGACUAUUUUACCUUUUUUUUAUACAAGUACAACUGUUGAUCGAAAGCCACAUAAACGAUCUAACUGGAAUGUGUCAAUCUUUUAUUUUUUUUUGCAUGUAGAUAGAAGAAGGGAACUUUAACGAAAAGCUCCCGGUACUGUUCACUUUAACGAAAAACCAUAUUUUUACACUAAAAAGUCAAUCCUGGUACUAUUCACUUUACCCUUUAUUUUGUCCUUAUCAUUAAAACUCAAAGUUUUCAAGCCCUUUUCAUUAGUUUUCCUAUAGAAAAAUACUUUUUUUGUAUACAACUACAACUGUUGAUCGAAAGCCACAUAAACGAUCUAACUGGAAUGUGUCAAUCUUUUAUUUUUUUUGCAUGUAGAUAUAAAAAAGACUGAUCUUUUGUAUGUGAUUUAUAUUUUGUAUGUAAAAGUUUUCCUGCCAUUUUCCAUUUAAAACGUAUUAAUAAUUUAAUACACAAUCGUUCAUAUCUUUCAAACAUAAUCUUUAUUCAAUUUCUAAUCCCGCAAUGUGUGUUAUCUGGAGUUGGCGGGUGGGUUUCGUCCGUCUCGAUCAGUUGGAUUGGGGGUAGGGAGAGUGAUUUCAGGGAUUUGGUUGUAGGGAGAGUGAUUUCAGGGAUUUGUGUCACACUCAACCUCUCUCUAACCCUUUCUCUUUCACUCUCUUUCAGAGACUCCAUCUCUUUCAACCCUCCGUAAAACCCAGAGGCCGAGAGGCCUGAGUCUACAUCACAACUCGCCACUCCGGCGAGCCUCAACUCCAUCAAACAACCACUAGCUCCCUGGACCUCCCUCUUUCUCUUCUCUGUAAACACCACGGCGCACCAACGCACCCAUUUUUGCCCGAAACAUCACCACAUAACCACCACCACUCACUCUGUUCUGCUCAGGACACACAGACAAAGGCCUUUCACUAUGCAUUCAGUUCUAAAAUGUCCGGUCUUGCCGUGACGGGUUAUUGGGUUCUUGCGUCGGGUCGUUCAAACAGGGCAUUCGGGUGUUGUAUUUAUUUGAUUAAUUAAUUAACUAUUUAUUGAUUACAUUUAUGUUUUGAUUUCUUUUGGUUUUUUUUUAUUUUUGUAUAUUUCUGUUUUUCUUAAACUAUUGUCUGGAGUUCGGAUUUUUGAGUUUUGCAUUCAUGCAACUUUAUGCUUCUGGGCUUCUUGUGUUAGAGCUAGAGAAGAUGAUUUGGACUCGAAUUCAAGCUUUCAUGUCUUUUAGGUUUUUCAUACUUCUUUCGUCCAAUCUUCAUCACUCUCUGUCUCUCUCUAAACAAUUUCCAAUUGGUUUUUAGAGAGAGAAAGUGGCAGCAGCCGCAGUGGGGAAGGAAGAAGGACUAUUACUGUUUCUGUGAUCAUUUCUGUCCUUCGAAGCUCUAGGGUUUGUUUUUGGAUCGGUUAGCUGUUGAGGUAAUUACUAAUCUAUACUUCGAUUGUAAUUUUUUUUUUUCAGUAUUCGGUGUGUUUGAUCAAUGGGUUACUUUGGACUUGCAUAAUUUGUGUAUAAUAUUGCUUCAAUCAUUUGUUGGGUUCCCUUUGCGUCCACCAUCUUUGCAAACGCUGCUUGAAGACAUACCUGAUGCAGUAGCUGUUCCUCAUACUUCUUCAUCUGGGAGAGAGAGGUGUGGGGUGUCCGAGAGAGAGGGUUUGACGGAUUAGGUUUGGGGUUAAGUUUUUGCAAUUUGCAGAGAGAUGGGGGGUGCCCAAGAGAUGAUUUAGGAGAUUUGGUUUGGGGUUUGUAGAGAGAGAGAGAGAGAUAGGGCGUGUCGAAGAGAAAUGUGGGAGGAUUUAGGCGAGGGAUUUCAGGGAUUUGAUUUAGGCGAGGGAUUUCAGGGAUUUGAUUUAGGCUUUCCUUUCUGCCACUUGCAGAGACAGAAAGAUGGGACAACGGUGAGAGAGAUAUGGGGACGGAGAGAGUCGAAGUGAACUCUUUUGCCCCAUUCGAUCCAAAUCAAAAAACGGGAUUAGGGGCGUUUUGGUCAUUCAGCAACCUGGGGGGUUCAAUGUCGUCGAGGUUUUUCUGGGAUUUCCGUCCCUUGCAGAGAGAGAGGUGGGAGAAGUAUGGGUGGCGUCGAGGGUUUUCUGGAUUUCUGUUCCUUGCACAUUGAGAGAGGUGGGAGAAGUAUGGGUUGCGUCCAGGGUUUUGUGGGAUUUUGUCUGUUGUAGAGAGAGGGAGGUGGGAGAAGUAUUGGUGCUGUUCCCAAGGUCCACCUCUUUCUUUCUCCUCUUUCCCCCUCCUCUCUUAAUUCUGAUUUAUAUUCUGAUUUGUGAAGGAGCCCGUGCUUUUCCUCAAACGGAUGUCGUCUUACUUGAUGAACGGCGGUACGUCCGAAGUCCACCCUUUGUUGUCGUUGGACCAUGAGGUGGAGCUGGCGGUGAUCAUCUAUUAGAAAGCUCGCGAUGUUCCGUAAUCCACCACCAUGUAUUAUGCCGCCAGUAUAUUUGUAAUUUUUGUUACUGUUUUUUUGUUAAUUAUUCAGUUUUUUUUUCAAGGUCAGUUAAUUAAUCAGUUAAUAGUGCUGCUGUUAAUGAUUUAGUUUAAUUAAUCAGUUAAUAAUGCUGCUGCUAAUGAUUUAAUUUUAAUAUAAUGAUGCUGUUAAUGAUUUGGUUUUGACUUUAAAUUUGAUUGGUGAAAAUUGGAUGGUUUAAGGCUAUGCACUUGCUUUGGAUAUGACUGCCAGAGAAAUUCAAGCUUCUGCUAAGGUAAUUAUCGGUAAUUGGAUUGUUUAAUGCAAUCAAACACGGUAGUGAAAUGUUCAAUUUUAUGGCUACAAGUUUCUAAUUAGAAUGCUAAUGCUGCAAUUCAUGAUGAUCAAUAUGUUCUGAUUUAAACAGUUACAUUGUUAGGACUAUAGAUUUGGAUUGAACUCAAUGUUGUCCGUGUAUAUAGAUGUGUGUGAAUAUAUGUGUGUAUAUAGAUUUAUACAUGUAGGGUAGAUGGAUGGAUAGGUGUAUGCCUAGUCCGUAAGAGAAGAAUAGAAAAUGAAAACAAACCAAAUAACUCGCAUUUAAAGCUCUUUUCUUUUUCUCUUUUGACGUAAAUCUCUCUUUGUUAGAUUGCUAGGGGGCUGCACUCUGUGAGGGUCAUGUAUGUUUUAUUACGGUCAUAUCUAUAGUUUUGGGAACUGGAGAAAAUAAGUGGAACAAACCAUUUGCACGGCAGAGGCCGACUUGAUUUUUUCUCGAAUUUGUAGUGCACCAAAAUGGUUGAAUAUAUAUGUGAAGGGGAUGAGAGAAGGCAGAUAGGCAAAUGUUGUAUCAGAGAUGAUUCCUUUACAGAGUUUGGUGCUUACAUUUGUAGUUUUAAGAUCGGUUUGGAUGUUUCAUAACAUUGAAGGAUCCCCUAUUCCAAGAAUUGUUGUUGCAUUCGAUUUUGUGAUUUAAAUGGUGAAAUAUAUCUAUGAACUGUCUUUUUUCUUGGUCAAAAUAUAAGUUUAUAUUGUACUAAUAAAUUAUUUUGAGUAUAUAUCUGAAUGCGGCUGGUGAUCUUGGACUCGGUUUGAUAUGUUGAUCGCUUUAAGCGAAUCACUUUGUAGCUUUGAUUUGAUUUUCAAGAGAUUUAGGCAUCCUAAUUCCUAAGAAAUCUAUUGAGCUAAGUUGUUUUAGGUAGGAAAUUAUGGUUGCUGGUGUUAGCAAUGGAUUGAGUCUUUCUAUUUGCUAUGAUUAUAUCUCUAAACAAGCAUGACUUCAAAUUAGGCGCAAAUGACAAAUUUUGUACACAAAAGAAAAUGGAUAGGUGUAUAUGGCUAUUAAUCUUUGUUUUUCUUCAAUUACGUUAUUUGAUUUUUUGGUUGUACUGCUGUGAAAUCAAAUUCGUUCGACGCAUUGCGCUACCAGCAGAAGCGUGAUGUUCACGAACUAUUUUCUUUCAAUUGCUCCUUAAACAUAAGAGGGCAUACUAGCAUAACAGCUCCCCGCAAGGUUUUCGAGUUUUUUGGUGAAUUUCUCUCUUUUUAUUUGUAUGUCUUUCUGUUGAAAUUAGGGAAUGCGCGGGCAGUUUUUCUAGUAAGUAAUAAAGCGGUAACCCAUACAAUUAACCUGUUAUAUAAUGAAUCUACUCCAUACAUAUUUGGAGUUUAGUAGUUUUCUUCCAAACAAAAACACUCAAAAUAUGAGUAUUUAACAAAUUUAAUUUAUUUCAUACAUAAUCGUGCUAGGGUUAUUAUGUUCCCCUUUUAGUGUUUUUCUUUUCCCAAUAAAUAUGGAACCAAACCUAUGAACUAUCUAUUUAACUCGUACACAAAAACCCAAUUAAAAACCAUGAAGCAAUCCAAGCAUUAUCAAAAUAGGUAAAAACAUAAACAUUGCUCAAAUGCAGAGCAAAGUACCAAUUGCCCCACCAAUUCCUCUUAACACAAAAAUAGACCUCAACGGAAGUGAAAAUGGGAACAAUCUGCAUCAUGGAGAAUUGGGUUAGCGCCAAAGAGAAAACCCAACCGAGAGAGACUACGUGAACGAGUUGAGGUAAAAGUGAAAAUGGAAGUGAAAUUACACCUAAAUUUUAAAAUUGAGAAUUUGAGGUUUCAAAUUCUAAAUUUUUUAUUUUUUCAUGCGAAAAUUUUAAAUUUUUAUACUUAAAAAUACAAAUAAGGGAAUUUGUAAAUUAUGAAUUUAUUCCAAAUUUCAAGUUUAUUUUAGUUAUCUAAACAUCAUGUAGCUUUUUUUUUGUUUUUGUUUUUUUUGUUUUUUAUGUCAAUAGACGAACAUUACUGUUGAACUGAGAUUUAGUAUAUGGAUAUUCUGUCAGCUAUCUUGACAGAUAAAUUCUGUCAGCCGUCACAGCAUGCGGUGUUUGUUUUAUUAUACACGUGCAGAGCACGUGAGGUCUCAAAUGGCGGCGUUGGUACCAGAAUCUUAAAGAGGGACAGUGUUCCACAUUGCAUCCCGUUUCCGCUAUCAUUCGAAACUCUCCGAACUCACAAAAUCGAAUCCAAUACGAAUACAAAGCACUAACAUUUAAUGGGCGGCGUCCUCUGUCGAGCUGCAGAGGUUGGGAACGAGACAGGCGCGGUUCUUGUCAUAACGGAGGUGUCGAUGUUUGAAAAACAUGAAAAGGAUGGGAAACUGAUCUGUAGGCUCAGAUCUGGAGAGAGCAUCUAUAUCAAGGGUAGGCAGUUCAUAAACCGAACCUCUGGUUCUCGUAUUCAGCGGAGCAUUCAUGUCACCGCCUUGAUUUCCGGCGACGAAACAGCGCCAAAUAUCUUGCCACCGAAAUGUAUCUUGGCAGCAAACGAUUUUGCCAAAUACGGGAAAGUCACUUUCCGGAUAGUGGACAAGAAACUGAAGUGUUACCCAGUAGUGAUCCCCGAUCUCCGCCGCUUGAGGUAAAUUUGAGAGCUUUACUCAGCUAAAUUUGUGAUGAUAUCGUAUCGAUUCCUAACCUAAAUUUAUGUGUUUUGCUUGUUAGGUUGGUAUCCCGUGUUGGAACAACAUUUGUGUGAGUGUACAUCGUCUCUCCUCUUUCUCUCUGAUUCUAAUAUCUAAUCUGUCCUUAACAAGUUUUGAUUUUCUACUUUGUGUUUUGAUUUUCUUGUUUUCUGAUCUGUGCUUAGAUAUCUAUUUUAAAGUUGGAGGAAUAUAAGAUUGGGUGGAACUGAAAUUCGGAUUUUGUUGUUUUCGAGAUAUGUUCUUUGAUUUUAUCUUUUGCAGGGUCUUGUGGUUUGCCAAUUUAGGGUUUUUUAUUUUGGUGAGUUGUAUCACUUUGCUGACCUGCUUGUCCCUCAUCUCUUUAUUCCGUGAACUAAGUUUUGAGGAAAUGGGUUUUGUUGGAAACUGUUUUUGUUCAUUCAACUUGGUGAUUUGUGUGUUUGAUGAUUCCUGUUCUGGUUCUGGUUCGGAUUGCAGGAGUCGUAACAUUGUUUGUGCUUUUUUGAGGUAUAGCCAUGAGAGAAAGCUUUUCUUUUCGAAUUAACAUCUUCUGCUUUAUUAUUUCUAGUUGUAUUGAAACCUGUAGUAUUCAAAGCGAUAAUUUGUAUUCAAAGGUAAUAUGAUUUUUCUGGUGGGAACAGCUCCCAAAUUUUGUAUAAUUCGGUAUGUCUUCUAUAUGUACAUUAAUAAAAGGAUUUUUGCUCUUUAUUUGUCUUGUUUACUUCAUUGAAACAAGUCCCUAUUCUAUAUUCCUUUCUUCCUUGCCUCUUUUUUCUCUUGUUCUACAUUGAAUGGCACCUCCUCUUCACUCUCUGGUUCUUCAGUGGAUGCGGCCAACCUUUCAAUUUCCCUGCUUCACUUUGUUCCGCAACCUACAGGGUGUUCCUUUUGCCCAAUUUUAGUGCAUCUAUCUCUUGCAAUCUUCUAGCCUGUUCUUGAAUAACGAAAACCAUUUCCUCUUUAAGAAGUGGGUGAUUUGUUCUGUUGUAGAGAAAGUUGAUAAAUAUAAGCUUGAUUGGAACUGGAAAUCAUAUUUGCAUAUUUGCAUACUUGGACUGUGUUGUUUUCUGGUAUGUCUUUAACAAUUGCUGAUUCAGAUUGUUAUAUAUUUUUUAUGCCUGUUAGGGUUUGAGAUGAACUUUGAAAUUAAACUGGGAAAUCUAUGAUUCAGUUGCACUUUAGUGAGCAGGUUGACUAAACAAGUGCAUAAUACUCCAUCACAUUAAAAUACCAUCACUUCGCAAUUUCAUACUUUGAAGUCCGUCACCCAAACACAGUUUUUGACCUGCCCUAUACUUUGGUCUCGUGAAUUUUGCCAAUGUAGUUCAGCCGCAUUACUUAUCAGCCACACUUCAAAAUAGCCACAACCAUGGCCUUCUAAAUGUCACAGAGCUUAUUAACCACAUAUAAAUUUAGAGUAUUGUUUUUUGUAGUGCAUCACUUUGUUGACUGGGAUUUAUAAUUUUCUGUGGACUGAGUUUUGUGGAAAUGGGUUUCGUCGCGAAGUGUUUAUUUGUUCAUUUAACUUUUCAGUUUUGGUGAUUUGUGUGUUGGAUGAUUUUCUUACAUGGUUUCUUUUCUGGUUUGGGUUUGCAGGAGUCGUUAAAUUUGGCUAUAGUGAUAAUGGAAAGUUCGAAUGAACGAUCGGCAUUGGUAGAAAGGAUCUGUAUUCUAACAUAUAAUUUCUAAGGAUUUUAGCUUUUGUUAGCGAUUGGGUGAAAACAGUAUCUUGCAAACUUCAGUGUUUUGAUAAUGUGCAUUUAUAAGGAUUUUAGCUCUUGUUAGCGAUAUUUCAAAGUUUUAUAUGCAAUAUACCCAUGUCUGGCCCUCUAUGCCGGUCACAGAGGCCAUGGAUUCUCGAUGCACUUCGGUGCGUCGAGAUGUCUAGUUACUGAUUUUUCAGGACUGUCACUGGUUCCGAUCACAGCAUGACUGGUACUGAGUUUCUAGUCAAUAUUUGACGUUGAAUCUGUGUAUCAUUUUCUUCAAGCUUUUGUGGAGAGGUAUCAACAGUAUCUUCGGUACUUAAAAGCCGAGUUGCCUGAGAUCCCAGUUAGAUCUCGAUUUUUCGGUGCCUAAAAUGUGUCGAUAGAUCAUGUGUCAUAAUAGAAGUGUGGACAAUUAAAAAUAUAUUCCUUUUUCCACUUGUAUUAUGAGUCCUGACACGUGAUAUACCCGUUUAUGUUCCUAGUAUAUAGAAAUAUCUUUGCACUUGAUCAAUAAACACCAGUGCUUAAAAUCUUGUUAUCGGUGAAAACUGAUAUAUCCGAAUAUCAAAUAUUGAUAUCGAUAUUGAUUGUUUUCGAUGGAAAUGAUAGAAAUUUAGAAUAAAACUUUAGAGAUUAUUAAACAUUGGUUUAGACGAAAUAUAUGAGUUUUUCUGAUAUUUAACAAAUAAGUCAAAAAUAUCAACAGUAUCUAUCGAUUUUAGCUUAAAUUUGAGAGCUUCUCCAAUGAAAGGUGAAGUUUAGACUCUAUCCUUAUUUUUGUUUUUUUAAAUAUUUCUAUAAAAAUAUCGAUAGUAUCUAAUAAAAUGGACGACACUGAUAAACGCCCAACUUACCACGGGAUUAUUUCACCUUCGGACAUUCCAAAGGAUAAGGAUGUGGCAACCAACGAGGAAAGUCUUAGAUUUUUAAUUUGGCAAACGCCACCUUGCCUUUUUAAAAGGGUACUCUACUAACUUAAUAUUUACUAGCAUACGAGCGAAUACAAAGUGUGCAGGAAAUUCUUUUAUUUUUGUUUUUAAAAUAGAGAUAGAGAGGAAGAGUGAGAGAACGUGUGAGUGGAGAGAGAAGAGAGUGAGGCCUUGAAAAGAAAAAAAAACAAAAUUUUUGUUGUGUAAAAUUACACUUCUGUUCAUAUAUUUUAUUCAUGUUCAAUUUUAAUUAAAGGAUUAAAAUAAUAACUUCAUAAGAAAAUUAGAUUUGAGCUCGUUUACCUAUAAUAAUGUAUUGUAUCAUCUCUUAUUUUAUCUAUUAUUAUCUAAAUUAUUUCUUAAUAAAAUUAUUUUUUUCAAGCAAAAAAAAAGUAAAAAAACAAUUUAAUCUUCUAUCACAACAUAUAACCAUAGAUAGAUGGAAGUUUUAACGAAACGCAUACGGUACUGUUCAUUUUAACGAAAAAUCAUAUUUUUACACUAAAAAAUCAAACAUGGUACUAUUUACUUUACCAAUUAUUUUGUCCUUAUCAUUAAAACUCAAAGUUUUCAAACCCUUUUCAUUAAUUUUCCUUAGAUAGUAAUGUAGUUUGCACAAAUCAAUUUUUUUUCUCUUUUCAAAUCUCACCAACACAUCAUCCUAGCACAUUUUUUAAUUUAAAAAAUAAAAACCUCUCUCCUCACUCUCUUUCUCUCUCCUUUCUAUUUCAAAAUAAAAAAUAAAAAAUGUUGACACCGUCACACACAGAGUUGGGCACAUGCUAGUUAAAAAUAACUAAAAAGUAGGUAAAUAAAAAAUUGCCUUGAAAAUCUUUGACUUAUCUCUCUUGAAAAGACAAUUUUUAAUCAUUUCAAAUAAACUAAAAACACUGCUUAGAGCCUGUCUUUAUCUCCUAAUCAAGUGGUUCCGGUAUAUCAUGUCCAGAUGCAAUUUUAUGGAAACAAACAACAAAAAAUGAAAUCUUAACAGUUUACACUUGGUAUACAUUGCUAUUUGCUUAUAUACAUAUAUAUAUAUAUAUUCUGCGUAAAAAGGAACUCAGGUGAAAUAUUUGCCCCGAUCUGCGGCAGCGGAGGCACCAAAACUAGUUCACACCGCUAUGAAAAUGGGCAUAGAUGUCGAAACUUGUUGUAGAACAAAAUCGCGGGGCUACUGGAGCCCAACCCAGUAUGAACGUCCGUUGCUGUUGUGAACUGGUGAACUGGCGAACUGGAGGGCGAAGCCACGCACCAUUCGUACCAAACCUGCAUCACCAUCACCGAUCCAUAUGAACUAGGCUUAUUGUUCAUAAAAAACCGAAAACACGUCAAAGAGAUGCAGCAGCACACUAUUCUUUUGCUCAAAUAUAUUAUUAUCCCUUGGAUAAUGGCCUCAAUCUUUGUUAAACAAGAAAGAAUAUUACCUUGGUAGGAUGACAACACCGCCAGAAAUGUAGUUCAAGAGAAGCGCCAGGACUAAGCGUAAUAGGUGUCCUUAGUGGGAAAAAUAUCGGGAACCUGAGGGUAACGAUAAACAGCACGUAAGCCAUACAACUACCGCAUAAGCUUUAGCCAUCAUGUGUUUAGCACUUAUAGAACAAGUAACCAUUAAAAAAAUAAAAUAACUAGGGGGAAAAAUUGAAUAUUUUCUUCAAGAACUAAUAAUCGUAAAGAAAAAGCAAAGCACAAACGAUGGCAAGCGGUAGCCUAACAAGAAAAGGAUAGGAGGGACUGCAUUACCAGCUAAACAUGUUUGGUGUUGAUGUUGAUGGUUCAAUGCCAAGAUGAACUUCUUUGUAUAAUGUUGCAUCAAAAUAGCCAGCAAAUCCUGGAGGUGUAGAAAAGAAAUUUUAGUGACGCGAAAAAUAGGCCCAAUGAGUCAACAGCACAAUCAAAGUAGAAUUUAGUCAUGUUCACAAAAUGCAACAUACUGACUUAUUUUCAUUCAAGAAUAUUAAUCACCUAAAGAAAAACUACGCCGCCACAUACCGUGAAUCAUGGCUGAGCCAGUAUCACUUGUUAUUCCAAACUGCAACUUCGUGUACCGGUUAUUGCUUUUGUCAGUAGAGCGUUUUGAGUGAUCAAACGUGAAAACCUAACAAAAAAUCCAGUGUUCGUGACUAAAUGAUUGCCGAAUAAUGACUCCCUAUACAAUCCAGUUCAUAAAAUUAAUUACCGAAUCAGUCCAGUGAAAAAAACUCACAGGUUGAGGAAGAGCAAGUCUUCCAAUGUUGUGCAAUUUAACAACAUAAGCAGUUUCAAAGUGUGCAAUAUCUUUGUGCGCGACUUAACCUGAAAGAUAACCACAAAACUUUACAAUGGAAUCUUCAAACAGAUAGAAAUGAAAACCUUUGGGCACAAAGACACGGGCAUACAUCAUUGUAAAGCUUUGAAGCAGUCACCGGUUGGAUAAAACCCGUGUACCUGAAAACAGGCGCAUAGGCUUUUUAGAGAAGACGCUAAUGGAGAAAACUCCAAAAAAUAGCUUUCAAAUGGAAGUAUUGAUGUUGAACAUUUAGACACCAUGAAAUCUGGACAAUCUCACGACAAGAUAUCACAAUGUCAAUACUGACUUUUGGACAGAUCAUAACAGGGAAGCACCUUUGAUAAAAAAUACAAAAUAAAGAAAAAAGUAUCCAUACGAUGAAGGUAUCAAGAUUCCAUCAUCCUUCAAAAGUCUCUGAGCUCCAUCAAGGCACUCAGGAGACAGCUCGUUAUCACCAAAAGAACCCAACAAUUCACUAACCUAUUACACAAUCAAAGGCAAUGUUAAUAAGGAAACCAAAAAACAAAAAUAUGUUAUUAUAAGAUUACUUGCAUACCAAAAUGUCAGCUUUCUCUGGAGCAUCCCAGUAACGCAUAUCACAUGAAAUUAUGGAAACAAUGUUUUCCCACACCUCCAGUUUAACCAAGCUCUGCUCCAACAAACAUAGACACGUCAAAAUAAAAAAUGUGUAAGAUGAAAAAACAAGGAAAGUCUACUUCAAACAAAUACCCACAGUAACACCUUUUUUGUGUUAAUGUACAGCAUGAUGAGUUGCACAUCCUAGAAACAUAAUUUUACAACUUAGCAUAGAAAGAAACAAGAUAAAGAGAGAAUUUGCAACUCACAUGAAGUGUAACAACUGCAUUUGGAUUUUUUUCGACAGCGUACACUUUAAGCUUGCGCCCAGUUUCUUCAGCUGCCUACAUAUGAACAAGUGGAAUUGGAUCCACAUCAAUAUGACCUGCUACAUAUAAUAUCAAGUCUGAAGAUAAACAACAUAAUCUAAAAACAAGUACGCAGAAGGAAGAGAAGGCACCUGCAAUGAUGCCCUUACAAGAGGUCCACGUCCUGCUCCUAAAACCAUCAAUACCUUAACACAAAUGCAAAUAUCACAUAGGCAAUGUCAGGACAUUUUGUCAUCAAACUUAAUAAAACACCAUUCAUGAGUAACUUGGGAAAGCAAAGUGACAAGUGAGCAGCUUACGGUAGUUACAGAAGAUGCCUUGUCAUCUGGAACCCUGUCCUGUAAAGCUUUACAAAUUGCUCUUUGGUACUAACAAAGAUAAGAACAAACUAUUACAAUUUAGAUCAAUAUAAAGUAAUAAGCAUUACUAUGUCUUCCCUUUCAGAAGAAACCUCGGUCCCUCCAAGAAGAAAAAGAAAAAGGAAAAAUAAACAUAAACAAAGUCCAAUGUGUUGUUGAUGUAUUUAAAUAUGAUUAUAAAAAAGGUCGUACCCAGUGCACAAGACUCCCGCUUUACGCAGGGUCUGGCAGAUUAGAAAAUAACAAUGUAAAAAUAUCUGAAAUGAUCGUUUAUGCAAUUAUUUGCAAAUGCAGGCAUACCUGAAUAUAUUUCAUUGUGUCCUUCUCAAAUGUCUCAUAGGUUUGAGCUUCUAGAUUAUCCAUGAGAGGCUGCAAUAGAAUAGCAGAGUUAGCCUAACUUGUAUUUGAUUACAAGAGGAUGGAAAAUCACAUGUAACAAUGAAAAUAGGAAAAGAGCGAUUAAGGUAUGUACUAAUCAAAAGACAAUAAUCCAAUCACUUGGGAAAUAACCGUACCUGUAAGGGUGACGGCAAGUAAUCCCUGUAACCAAUCUGCCAUAAGAGACUUAAAGGGUUAGAAAAAAUUAAGAGCUGGGAAAAAAAUUUCCAAAAUCCAAAUACACACGCACAGAGAAAGAAAGAGAGAGGGAUAGGCACCUCAAGCCGUUCUUGCUCCGGAAGGGGAUCCAUCCUCUGGUAGAGAUAGCCAACAUAAUCCAAAUAUAGCCUCAACGGAUGUUGCUGGACACCUGGAUGUCAAGAAUAAUAUAAGACAAUGGACAUAGCUAUUAAGAAACUCAACUUAUAUGGUUGGGGUAAUCGCUUUAUGAAAAUACAUUGUGUUAAACUGAAAGUGUUUUCUUUGUCUAGGUAUCUUCUACCUUGCUUCUUGAUUUUGUUCUGUGUCAGCAAAAUUAAUAAAUAAAUGUUUUCCCUUUACAUUGUUUCCUUCAUAUUUGUAUUUGAUCUAUAUGAAUCCUAAGGUUCAGAAUCGAACAAAAAUCAUUUAGGAAAUAAAAGUAGCACUUUAAAAGACAACUUGAAGCACUUGAAAAAUAACUAAGUUACAUAUAUUGGCUUAGCUUUUCUGCCUCAAAUAGUUCAAUUACCAUACAAGUUUCUAUUAUUCAAGACAAUGCACUUGUAUACAGAAGGUAGGUCUUACCAUCAACAUUAUUAUCAUUAUCAUUGGCAGCUAUAAGUGAAUUUAUCUUGGGAAGACUAUGCACUGGUUCUCCUGAUAGAACUAUCUGCAAUUAAAUUUUCCAUGAUGACAAAGAUUAGAAAAUAUUGCAAGAAGUUGACCAUAAGAUCUAAAACAAACUAACGAUGUCUAUAAAGAAUUUUUGCAACUACAAAAUCAUACUUAGAUUGGAACUUGCUUGAGAUUGUAAGUAACUUCUGAGCAAUAACCAUAGAAACAAUUCGGAAAGAAGGUAAACCAUAAAAAGAAAUGUUAAACUAUGGGUUGCUUAUGCUGCAAUGCACAGAAAUGGAAAACAAACUCCAACGGUACAUAGAAAUACCAUUGAUAACUUCUUCUUAAAUACCUGCAUGGAAUGAUUGAAAAGCCCAUGAACAAGAUUCUGGUGGCGCUUUGACAGACAUGGAUAGCCUCAGGCAUUUGUUAGAAAGCACUGGCAAUGAACAAGACCACUAUUAGAAAAUUAAGCAACAAUCGAACCAACAAGUAAUCAACUUAAGGUUUCCCUAAUACACCAAUUAGCAUAUAAUUACAUCAGUACUGAAUAUGGCUGCUCUAACAGAUUCCCCAAACCAGCGUCCAAGAGAGUUUACAGAAGGUAGUGAACUCCUGAGGAGAAAAGAAAGUUGUUCAGAUUAAAAUAAAAUGAAAAUUACUUCAGGCACAAUCAAAACACAUAAACACAAAUCACACAAGUUAUAAGAAAAUGGUCAUUGUUACACUUACAAAACAUCAAGAGCAACUGAUAACUGACUGUGAUGUUCACAUAGCAUGCAAAAUGAAUUCCAAAUCUCCCAAGAAUCAUCCUGCAAAAAAAAAAAAAAAAAAAAAAAGUUAAAGAAAAAUGAGUUUUAUCAUCUGGUAUGUGAAAUUGUCAAUCAUCAUGCCAUUAUUUCACACACAUAAAGAAGGCCAAGUUUAAGCAGAAGGUUUAAACCCCAUAUAAGUUUGACUACCCAACUGAAUGCACAAUAAAAAAGAGGCAACUCUCCACACCCGACCUCCCUCUUUGGUAUACGACAUCUAACAACAAAGCCUUUAUACGGACUACAAAAGAAGAUCAAGUACUACACAUCCCAACUCAUCAUGCUUAUUAGUAGAUUUAGCACAAGAGUUAUCAUUUUGUAGGGUCAACAAGAGCCAUAUGCAACAGAGGUUGAACAUCUAUGUAAAAUGCAGUAUAUAUUAGCCAAGAGUCAUGAUAUAAGUUGAAAAACCAGUCGCUGGAAACUACGAGCUCCACCAAAAGAAGGAAAUAAUUAUCAAAAUGGUAAACCUAUUUUGAAAACUUAAUCAGAAGGGACAUCACUCACCGAGGUAUCAGUGUUUACAUCCAUGGUUUCACUGUCUGACUUGACCAAUGGAAGCCGCAACCACAACUACAAUAGAACAUAACAUGAAUGGAAAACCCAAUGAGCUCAAAAAGUAGAUUACACAAACAGGUCAAAAUAUGUAAACUGAUUUGGAUUAACAAUGGUACCUGCGUACUGCUUAGGCCCUGUAAAAGCUGAUUUACACAUCGAGCAUAAUUAGCACAGGAUUUCCCCUUUGGAGCUGGAAGAAGGCAUGCCUGCACCAAGCAAUAGAUGACAAUUAAAAGCCAGCAAGACAGUAAAACUCAAUAACCAUUUUCCAGAAUCAAUUAUUAGCAAAGCACACAGAAAAUUAUUCAGCUUAGCAUGUGGCCUGAGAUAGCAAUUCAAAUAUUUCACAACACUGCAGUUCCAAUAAAUAAAUAAACAAAUUUCAAUGCUAUCAACCUGCAGGGACAAAUGAGAAGCCCAUGCUAUAUCUUGCUUCAAAGUAGUUUCUGAAUCGCACCGGAGGAUCUCAUCUUCUGAAUCUAAGUCAAUCCAUGAGCUAACCUUUCCUGAAUAAAUUCAAAAAACCACUAUGAGCAGUCAUAGGAGACAAGGGAAAAUGUGGUUGAAAAGUAAACAGGCUUAUCCCAUCAAAUCCAUUAUUAUUCAGCCAAGUUCUUAGUAAACAUAAAACUUAAGUUGAGUAAAGUCCAUUAAAUUACCAAGAGAAGACAAUGUAACACAAGCAAAGUCUAGAGAAGUACAUACCAACGACAUGACCACUCCAUUGGGAAGGACUCAAAACCAAGUCUGACCCAGCAAAUGGAAGAACACCAGAAACACCACUGUCUUUUUGCAUUAAGCUUGGUCGGUAAGCAGGAUCCAUCUACAUCAUGAAGUUGAAAAAGAAUCACUACCCUUUGUGCAAGUUGUGCAUCAGUGAUCAAAGAAAGCAAAGGGGGGAAAAUGAUCAUACACAGACAAACACUUAGCAGUACAAACAAUUUGCUGAACAGAAGUCAGAAAAUUAACACCACAUGAAUAUGUAAUGCAUUUGACAUACAUGACAGUCGAUACCAAACAAGCUAUAAGAUAAAAACCUUUGUAGCUCAAAGGAAAGUCCUCAUAGCCACCAAGGAUAAGAAAUACAAAGGUGUCACAAAUUUAACAAAGUAUUAAUAACCUAAAGGUGAAACCAGAGGUUACAGUUCACCAUUAAGGACUACCAACAGAGCCUUACUUUCGGUGAGCUUACUGAACAUUCACACAAAACAGAAGCCAUCUCUGGCUAUAUGUGACUGGCUAAUUAGCCACCAAUUGCAAAGAAAUUUCCCAAACGCCGACAAAACAAGUCUGCCAGACAACAUAGAAACAUUAACUAAGAAAUUCAUACCCACAAAUGAUUGACAAGGAAAUAAUCAAUAUUUACGAUCAUUUCAAAUGGAAACUGAUAUUGAUGUAGUUAGUGGCUGUGGAGUGAAGCUCUAUUGUCGAGCAGCUGCAUAAGCAACAUCCACCAACAUGGCAUUGCUGUCGGUGAGCUUACUGACCAUUCACAUCAUAAAAAACAGCUGAAAAGCCAAUUAUGUGACUGGCUAAUUGGCCACCAUACAAGAAUUACAAAAAACAAGUUUCAAUUGACUAUUUCUAUCACUCCUCGACAAAAACAACUAUACAAGUCAUAUCAACAAACAAUUGGAGUGAAUCAUCAACAUUUCUAAUAUUGUUAAGUCGAAUUUGAUACUAAUGUAGUUAGUGGCCGUAGAGUGAAGCUGCAUAGUCGAGCAGCUGCACGAGCAACAGCCACCAACGCGGCAUUGCUAUUGGUGAGCUUACUGACCAUUCACAUCAAAAGAGAAGCUGCGAAGCCGAUUAUGUGACUGGCUAAUUGGCCACCAUUUCCAUACGAGCAUCACAAAACACAAAUUCCAAUCAACUUUUCCAUUCAUUCCUCAACAUAAACAGAAGAAUCAAAUGAAAUACGAAAUUUGAAAAAUAAUUAGGAAAAAGAAAGGAGAAAUGUACGGACCAAAGGAGCGAGGACGAAGUCGAAGGAGCCAUGGGAGAGAUUGAAAGCGAGGACGUGGGGCAUGUCAUCGUUGAACUCGGUCUCCACGCCGCAGAACCGAGACUCGCUCUUGUCGCCGGCUCUUUGCCCGAGUGGCAUUUUGCUCCACGCAGAGCAGGAGGAGGAGAGUGUGGAAGUAGAGUAGGGUUUUGGUGGGGUUUUUGAUUGAUUUGAUGUCAACGGAAAUGAGCUGCGUCUAAAUAGGGUUUGCGGAGCUUUAGGACUAGGGUUUUUUGGGUAGACGGGUUUGACCGGAUUAGUUUAACGGAUAAGAUUGAAUUUUAAUUUGUGGCAUGAAAAGCCCAGUGGUAAUCUGGGUUGUUACGGCCCAGCCCUAAGAACCGAAGCAUAAUUCUGUAUUCGAUUUCUCAUUGCAGGCAUCAUAAUCAAAAACCGUUGGGCUUUUUUCAGCUGGUCUAGGGCCCUCUCUUGCAGCUCUUAUGUGAAUACUCUUCAAGAUCCUUUGUUUUCGAUUAUCUAAUAAAUCACUUAAUGGAAAUAGAUUAUCUUUCCAUUACAUGAAUUAUUAAACAAUCGAAAUCGUUUGGAUUACUAACGAACAAAAUUUUAGAUGAUUCAUCUUGAAAAUCUUAAUAGUUAACAAAAUAUUCGGUUUGUUUGAUACAUAUGAAUUAGUACUAAACGAUCACUAAUUUGAUCGAUUUUUUGCACAAAUAAGCUUUAACUUGUGAUAUAAGAAAUAACAUAACCUUUCAUUUUUUUUUAAAUAGAGAUUAGUUGUGAAACUCACCCUACAUCAAACUUCAAUGAUCCGAAUUGUCUAUUUUGUAAGUCUCGAUUCAUAAAUUAUCCUUGCAAAAAUUCAAUUUAAUCCUAAACUAUUUCUUAUUUAAUUAUCACAAUGAAAUUUCAUUAUUUCUUAUAGAACAAAGUGUUCGUCAAUUUCUUUAAACUCAGUUAGAUGUCUCAAAUAUUUUCAAAUUGACUAAUAUUUUAAGGAUGAUUUAAGAAGUGCAACUUGAAAAAUAGAUAGUUCGAAUUAUUAAAGUUCGAUGUGGUGUAAACCCCACAACUAAUUCCCUUUUAAUAAAAAAAUGAUAUCCCUUUCUUUAAAGGUUUGCUAAGAAUUAAAUAGCAACUACUAACUAGUGGAAAGAAAAUUUGAGGAAGAGUUGGAGAGGUCAAUUUAAAAAGUUCAUCAUGCUUCAUUUUACCAAAUCCAUAACCACAUAUAGAUAGUACCGAACAAUCUCCAACCGUAUCUACACGCAUUUUCACUACAUAAAGUUGCUCGACACGCAAGCUUACGAACAUAGAUAGGAAAUAGAAGAGUACUUAUGAAACAGACAUCCUAGCCGCUUCUCGCGACGCUAGC
rnacentral:lncRNA from 1 species